rnacentral:lncRNA from 1 species
UUUAAAUUUAAAAUUUGAAUGUCAAUUCAAAAUUUUAACUCAGCUUUAAAUUCAAAUUCAAAAUUCUAAUUUCUUGUUAGUUUAAAAUUUUAAUUUUAAAUAUUAUUUUUGAAUUUAAAUUUAAAAUUUUGAUUUUUAUUUUUAGGAACUAAAAUGAAAAACGUGCAAAGUUUAGGGACCUAAAUUAACAUACAAAAUGAUGCCAAAUAGGCGCUGACGUGGCGGUUCCGUUAAUUUUAACAGUUUUUUUAAUAGUUGGGACGUAAUUGUAAUAAAAUCAAGAGAUUGGGGAUUCAAUUGCAAAAAAAAAAAGGUUGGGGACCCAAGUGAAAAUUGGUGCGAAGGUUGGGGACUACCGGUGUAAUUAACCGGGCUUCAAAAUUUUUAAUUUUAAUGGUUGAUAUGAAACAUUUUCUCGUUUAAAGGUGUAAAGAUAUCCAAAUCAAUUGAAUUUUGUUUAGAAAAUUCUUUAACUAUUUGGAACAAAAUCUAUACUCUUGAUCUUGAUUACAAGAUUCCUAUCAUCACUUUGUAAUGAAUAUUCAUUCUCAGCCAUUCAUUUUUGUGUCCACUUGAUAGGCAAGAGAACAAUAUCGCAAAUAUAUGAAAUUUGAUUUCUAAACACUUCAAGUCGUAUAGAUCAUGUUCAACGGUGCCGAUCAUCGAUUUGUAGGCUCCAUCAUCGAAAACAAAUGGGCGGCAAUAAAGCUCAUUUGCUAUUGAUAGUAUUCUAGCUCAACUAUAUAUAUAUAUAUAUAUAUAGAGUUAGGCUGGUAUACUAUCAGUAACACGGAGGCCUCCGUGCUACCAAGUUGUUUUCAAUGAUGCGGGCUUCCAAAUAGACGAUCGGCUCCGUUAGACUUGAUCUACAUUAUUAAAAGUAUUUGGAAACUAAAUUUCAUAAUUUUUUGACAUCAUUUAGCUAGUGAUCAAAAGUCUCUAAAUUGACAAUUUUAAUGAUAGAUAUGAUGCGUUUGUGAAUUUAACGGUGUAAAGUAAUCCAAAUCUGAUGAAAUUUUUAUAGAAAAUUCUUUUCACAAUUUAGAGUAAGAUCAGUACCUCUAAUCUUAAAUUCAAAUUUUUUAUCAUCAUUUUUUAGGAAAAUUUUAUUUUCAGCCGUUCAAUUUUAGACUACUCGUUUAAUAGGUAAAUGAUGUCGAAAAUUUAUGAAAUUUAGUUUCUAAAUACUUUUAAUAGUGUAGAUCAAGUCUAACGGAGCCGAUCGUCGAUUUGGAAGCUGCAUAAUUGAAAACAACUUGGUAGCACGGAGGCCUCCGUGCAACCAAUAGUAUACCAGCCUAGCUCUAUAUAUAUAUAUAUAUAUAUAUAUAGUUGAGCUAGAAUAUUAUCAAUAGCAAAUGAGCUCCAUUGCCGCCCAUUUGUUUUCGAUGAUGGAGCCUACAAAUCGAUGAUCGGCACCGUUGAACAUGAUCUAUAUGACUUAAAGUGUUUAGAAAUCAAAUUUCAUAUAUUUGCGAUAUUGUUCUCUUGUCUAUCAAGUGGACACAAAAAUGAAUGGCUGAGAAUGAAUAUUCAUUCGAUUCGAUCUAACGUAUUUAAAAUAUCUAGAAAAUAAAUUUUAUGAUUUUUCGAUAUUAUUACCUAGCGAUCGAAAGGGUUUAAAUUAACGGCUGAAAAUAAAAAAUCUCAUAAAAAGUUAUGAUAUAGCACACUACCUGCUUCGAUUAUUUCAUUUAGAAAUAAACUUAACUGGAAAUGUGAAUCAACUCGGUUUCGAACUUGGGACCUCGGGUACCAACCACCAAGCCAUUUGCCACUUGCUCUAGGGACGGUCGGUAAUACUUGUACACUGUUAAAUCUGCAAACGGUAUACAUCAAUAAUUAAAAAUUAUUAAUUUUGAACUCUUUUGAUCGCUAGGUAAAUAACAUCGAAAAAUCGCAAAAUUUAUUUUCUAAAUAUUUCAAAUAUAUUAGAUCAAGUCUAACGGAGCCGAUCGUCGAUUCGACAACUCCAUCAUAAAAAACGACUUAGGAGCACGGAGGCCUCCAUACUCCUAAUAGGACACAAGACCUACUCUCUCUGUCUCUCUCUAUAUAUAUAGGGAACAAAGAAACAACAACAAGUUUAAUCUAUUUUGUUGUCAAGUCAAUUAAUUUGUUCAGAUCAAACUGAUCCUUCGCAACCGUUGGCUCAAGAAAGUAAACCAAGUUUUUGUCCGUUGAACUUUAUUUGAAUUAAUACAUUGGAAGACAAUAAAUAAAAGCUUCUCUGAAAUGUGUUUUUUUUUUUUGAGAUAGGUAGCAUGCUACCCAUUUCGUUUAUUUUAUUUAGAAAUAAACUUAGCUGAAAAAUGUGAAUCAACUAGGAUUCGAUCUCGGGACCUCAGGUACCAACCAUCAGACCUUUUGCCACUUGCUCUAGGUACGGUGGGUGCUUCUAUGAAAUGUUAAAAAGUGAGGGCACAUAUGUUGGGCCAAAGUUUAAAUCAGCCCAUAAAUAUACAAGGGAAUUACACGAAUUAAGGAGGAGCCUUGAAGCCUUAAGCUUCUGCUUGGCGCUUAGUCGUAGGCGGAAGAGAAGGACGGCGACCACCUGCCGACACAUCGACAACAAUGAUGCUGACGUUUUGCCAUCAGUGGGACGGAGGAUUCACUGAUCAUCCGCUUGACGCUUUGCUAUCAGCAGAAAAAAAAAAAAAAGAAAACGGUGAUCAUCCGCCGGUGCUUAGCGAAAGAGAAGAACUAGUGAUCAUGAAAUGCUUCGCACUUAUCCGACAGCGGAAGAGAAGAGCUGGUGAUGAAUCGCUUGGCGCUUAGUGGUCGGCAGAAGAGAAGAACGACGGUCGUCCGCCGGCGCAUCUACGACCACGAGAAGCAUCAGGCCGGCACAUAUAUAGCUGUUGGCCGACGAGAAGAAACGCUGGUGAGUCGGCCUCGCUUUUAGUCGGUUCGCAUAUGUUGAUCUGGUCAAAUUAGGACUAAGUUGGGACCUAGCUACAUUCAAUAAUUGAAUCAUGAAUACUAGUGAAGGCCCGCGCUACGCAGCGAGAAAUUUAUAUAAAUUUUAAAAAUUUUAAACUAUAUAGUAAAUAGCACCGAAACUGAUUAAAAUUUAAUUUUUAAAUUUAUUUUUUUAAUUUUUGAAUGGGAUCUAAAAUUAUACGAAACAAAACAAAAAAGAUUAGAAAAGAGAGGGAAAAGGGAAAAAAAUAUUAGAAGAGGAAAGGGAAAAAAAAGAGAGGGAGGAGCGGGUCAACAGGUACAAAAAAAAUUUAAAAACUAAAAUACUAUAUAUAAUAAAUAAAUAAUUUAAAAAAUAAAUAUUAAAUUAUAUAAUAAAUUAUUAUAUAAUAAUAUAUGCAUAUUAUAAAAAUAUAAUACUAUAUAUAUUAACUAAAUAUAUAUUUAUAAAUAAAUAAAUAAAUAAAUAAAUAUAUAUAUAUAUAUAUAUAUACAGAUCUGUAAUGCUUAUAAUUAACUUGGCCUAAUAUUUUUGAACAUUUUUUCCACUCUAAAGUGCCUCAAUUAAUUAACCAUUCGACAAACAAAAGAAGAAAAAUCUAAAAUUCAGUUGUGGCGAAAGGAUUGCUUAAUUUUUUUAAUUAUCCACAUUUGUUUGUUGUUAUGGUUUAAUUCCAUAAGGACCUAGCUACAUAUCAUAUAUAGAAUAGCUAGAUGUUCAAGUGGUGCAAUUUUAAACUCUAAGAGAAGGCAAAGUGGAAUUAUUCAAUACUGGCUAAGCGAUAAGUUGUUUCAUAAAUUUUUUAAUCAGCAAUUUGCAGGCUUUAAUAAUAAGGCUUAUGACUAUCACAUGCUAAUUAACCAUUAAAAAUGCUUAAGGUAAUAUGUUCUUUUGGAUCGAUCGGAGAAUUAAAAUAACAAAGAGAGGACAAAGAAAAGUNUCUCUCCCCCUCUCUCUGUAUGCUCUCUCUCUUUCCUCCCUCUGUUCUCUCUCUCUCCCUCUCUCUCUCUCUCGCGCGCGAGGCCCCCGCAAAACGCGGGGAGCUCGUCGUACAAACACCUGCCUGCUCUCUCUCUCUCUCUCCCUCUGUUAUCUCUCUCUCUCGCGCUGAGGCCCCCGCAAAACGCGGGGAGCGUGUCGUAGGAACUCUCGAUUCAAGAGUUAUAUAGAUAUAGAUACUACGCUGUGAAAACAAACAAAUAAAUAAUUGUGUGAGAUGAGUUAUUCGUGAUCUUACACAGUUUAAUAUCGUCUGGAUUUUAAUUUUUGAUAGAAAUUUAGUUUUAGUUUUUAAAUUUAAAUUGCCUUCGGAAUUUUAAUUCAGUUUUUAGUUGAGUUUAAUCAUGGCUCAAGUUUCAAUUUGAUUUAGUUUAUGUUUUAAAUCAAUUUUAUUUUCAAAUUCAAAAUCAUUCAGAUUUAAGUUAAAAAGAGGUUUACGUUAGAAAUCAAAUUCAAAAUAUAUAGCCCAUGUCAAAUCCACCAUGAUAAUGAAUCAAAGAGAUUCAAAGAGUCCAAUAUGAGUUUUUUUGAGUCCGAAAUAAACUCAAUCUGCAUUUAAUUAUGUUCAAAUCAAGACCAAAUUGAAGGCAGCAUAGUAGUAAAAAUUAAGAUUGAAUCCAAAUGCAGUUAAGAGACCUUCAAAGAAAGUGACAAUGAAAUAUAGACUAGAAUCAAAUAAAAUGUGAAUUUUAUUACACAAAGGGUGCGUUUGGUUCGCAUUAUUAAAGAUUAUUAGGAAUGAAAAGAUGUCUGAGAAUCUUAUUCAUGUUCAUCCUAUUACUAAGAAUGUGAAAUUCCUGUGUUUGAUUCGCACGGUCAUAUUAUUUAGCCAUAUUAUUUAAGAUUACAAAAAAUAUACAAUUAAUUUAUUUAUUUUUUAAAUUAAUUUUAGAUAAUGCUACCAAAAAUUUCAACAUCUUCUUAGAAAAAAGGAAGAGAGAGCAUAGGUUAGAAAAAGAGAGCAUAAUUAAAAAAAAAGAAAGAGAAAUAGAAUCGAAAUUAUAGGGAGUAAGAGAGUUGUGAUUUUAGAAAAAAAGGGAGAGAAAAAGCUUAGUUUAGAGAGAAAAAAAGAGUUGAAUUUUAGAGAGAAAGAUGAGUUUAGAGAGAGAUAUGAGGUUAGAGUGUAAAGAAAAGAUAAUAACAAUUAGCCGGCGGGUAGGAAGAAAGAAAGAGAUUAGACAUAUUAUGAUUACCCUAAUUCAUUAAUAUGAGGAUACCCACCAUCUUUCAAGGGAAUGAGAUUAGUACUUUGGGAUGAAUCUUAUUUCCAAGUAAAUCCAAUAUUACCAACUAGAUUACUUAGUGCGUUUAGCCAAACAUCGUCAUAUUUUUUUAUUUCUAUUGGAUUACUAAGAAUCUUUAAAAGAUAGCACGAAUCAAACGCACCCAAAAUGCUAUAAAAUUACAUGGCUUAACUAGGGGCACAACCCAUUAUGCAUGGAUUUAAUGACUUGGUGGUCAAUUUGUAUACGACUAGUCUAAUGAUUUGGUGGUUGAUUAGAUAUGGAUUACUCAUUUACUCGCUUUAACGGUGUGACAGUCAAUUAGAUUUGGAUUGCUCACUUUAACGAUAUGGCAAUUGAUUUGAAUUGUAUCGCUCAGUUUAACGAUAUGGUGGUCGAUUUGAAUUGGGUCACUCAAUUUAAUGACACGGCGAUCAGUUGGAUUUAGGUGCCCAGUCCAACGACGUAGCGACCAAUUUGAAUUUGGUUUGGAUUGCUUACUUUAAAGACAUAGCAGUCAAUUUUGAAUUUAAUUUUUGAUUGGACUUCACUUAUAUGUGCUAAGGUGCGAAGGUUGAUUAAAUCCAGAAUUCUAUGUUAGGGUUAAUUAAGUUAGAUUUGAUUGGGCUCUUAAUAUAUGUUUUAGAGCUUAAUGCGUCCACCCUAAGGUGAAAAAUUAAUCAAAUCUCAAGUAUAUAUAUUAGUACUUAGUUGAAUUUUAUUUGAGUUGAUCAAUCUAAGUAUAUACAUUAAGACAUAUUUGGAAUUAAACUCUAAGUAUACGUCCUAGAGAUUAAUCAAAAUUUGAAUUAAUAGGGCUCUAAAUAUAUGUUUAGACUCCAAUUGUAUUUCACUUGACCUCUGUUAUAUGUUUUAAGGUGAUACGCUGGUCAAAUCCUAAAUGUAUGCGUUAAAUUUUUUCAGAUUUGGAUUGAUUAAACUUUAAUUGCAUGUAUUAGAGUCUAAUCAGAUUUAAGUCCGUCCAAAAGGUGAAAGGUGGCUAAAUCCUAAGUAUAUGUGUUAGGAUUAGUCAAAUUUGAUUUAAACUAAACUCUAAUUAUAUACAUCAGAGUCUUAUUUGGUUUAAUUGAAUUCUAAAUAUAUAUAAUAGAGUCCAAUUAUGUCUGAUUCAAGUUAAGUUCACCUAAGGUGAAAAUUGCUAAAUCCUGACUACAUAUGUUAGGACUUAGUUGGAUUUGAUUUACAUUAAACUCUAAUUAUACGUAUCAGAGUCUACUUUAGUUUAUUGCACUCUACGUGUAUGUAUUACAGUCUAAUUAUAUUUGACUUGAUUAGGCUCUAUGUAUGUUUGAAUCUAAUUGGGUUUCAUUUGAUUUCUCACCUUAGUUAAUGUGUACUAAGGUAAAUGUUGAUUUACCCGAAAUUCUGAACAUAUAUUUUAGAAUAUAAUCUAAGUUUGAACUGAGUUGUGAUUACCCUAGUUGUAUGUGUUAGGAAAUUAGUUUGAACUGAUUUAUCCUUAAGAACUUGGUUUGAAAAAGAUGUUGGGUUAAUAUAGCCCAAGGUAUAUGGUUAAGGAAAGAGGUUGAUUUCAAAUUAUGGUUUAGUUAAUAUGGUUUGGUUUUUGAGCUUGUGUUUUGGUUUUGGUUAACACCGUUUUUGGGCUUGGAAAUGGGCUUCCGUUUUGGUUAAUAUAGUUUGGGUUUGGUUUUGACUUUGGUUUUGGUUGAUGGUGUUUGGGUUGGGUUCGGUUUGGGUUAGUAUAGUUUGUUUGAGAUUGGGUUCUUGUUUUGGUUAACAUGAUUUGAGUUGGGUUUUUGGCUCAUGCCAGUUUGGGUUCAGAGGGCCUAUACAAACCAGUUUUGGGUUCGAUGGGUUUGGAUCAUAUGAUUCAAGUUGUGAUUUGAAUUGGAUUUGAGUUUGACCUGGGGAUAAGAUUGGACCCAAACAAUUGGUGUGUGGUUAGCAUUGGACUUGGAUUUGAAUUUAAAAGGCAUGUAGGUGAAAUACAAGUUUAGGAAUUGGAUUUGAGUUGGCCACAUUUGAAUUUGAAUGUUACUUUUCAAGUAAAAAAUUUGAAUUUCCAUUUGAAUUAGUACAAGUGAAUUUGAAAUGUUAAUUUUAAAUUUGAUUGUAAAUUGAGCCUAAAUUUAAGCUUUAAGUUUGAGGGUGAAUUUAAUUUCAUUUUAGGUUUAAAUUCCAAUUUACUAUGAAAAUUUUGAAUUUACGAUGGAGUAAGUUUAAAUUUGCAUUUUAAGUUUGAGUUUGAAUUUAAAUAUUGGUUUGAAUUUGGUUCUUGGACUAGAUCUAAAUUUGAAUGUUAAUUACGAAUUUGAAUUUUAGAUUUUAUUUUUAUGUUUAAAUUAGAUUUUAAAUUUGAUUAAAUUUUCAUUUGAAUUUUGAUCUUGGUUAAAUUUUAAAUUUGAAUUUGGAUUGUUAUAGAUCGGGAUGAGAUUUGAAUUUGAACAUUGAUUAUAAAUUUGAAUUUUCAAUUUUAGCUUUGCAUUUAGCUUUAUAUCUCAAAUUUAAAUUUGAAUUGAAAAUAUUUUGAUUUGGUGAUUAUGAUUUUGGUUUAAUUUUGUCUGAAUUUUAAUUUUGGAUAGAAAAUUAGUUUAAGUUUGAAUUUCAAUCUUCAAUUCAAAUUAGAAUUUGAGUUUUAGAUUUAAAUCGCCUUUGGAAUUUUAUUUUAAGUUUUAGUUCAAUUUUAUUAACGCUAUUAGAUAGAAUGGAGUUGAGGAAAAAGCAUACAGGUUACGGCGUAUUUUCUCACGGCACGUAACGCAAUCUUUCCGCAAUUCCAAACGAAGCCUUAGUCGGUUACGAUAUAUUUUUUGCGGUACCAGCCAUAUAUUAGAUAGUUUUAUCUAGUUAAAAUUAAAAUUUAUGCUCCGAUAAAUUACUCGUGUAGCAAAAAAAUAAUCAGAAUAAAAGUUGUUGAGAGAAAAAUAAAAAAGAAAUAGAGGUUUAGGGCUUAGUUGAGCACGAGCAUGUGAGCGGAGAUGGAGAAAUCAAAAAAAAAAAAAAAAUCUGUUGGAGAGAGUGAGGGAGGGUUGAAAACAAAAGACACCGAAAGCCCGACAACGCGGAGAGCCGCACUUGCGGUGGGUGUAAGAUAAUAUUAAUAAUUAUGAUAUUAAUUUAAUUUAAAAAAUUGAAAAUUUAAUGAAAAUAUAAAUAUCAAAAUUAUAUCCUGUAUAUAUUAUAAAGCUAUUUUUAUUAAAUAUUAUAAAAGCUAUUUUAGAUUAAGAUUCUAAAUAUUUUAUUAGAAUUAAAUCAAAUUUAUUAAUUUUUUAGUAGCUAAUUGUGACGUGAUGGAUUUGAUAUAUGUGAUAACUUUGUAUACUUGUGUUAGGUAAAAAAAUCUGAAAGAGGAAAUAAAAAAUAAAAAAGGUAGGAGAGAGAGAGAGAGAGAGAGAGUGAGGGGAAAAAAAAAAAAAAGAAAGUAAGAGAGAGAGAGAGAGAGAGUGAGAGAGAGGAAAAAAAUAAAAAAAGAAAGUAAAAGAGAGAGAGAGAGUGAGGGAGAGAAUAAUAAAAAAAAAAAGAAUGGGCCCCACCGUAGGACCCCGCCAAAUGCAGGGAAGCUUCGGUUUAACCCACUUUUAUUAUAAGAAUAGGGCAUGGAUCACGUUUAAGUUUGGUCUAGCUAGUCCUAAAUAGGCCCAUUUACACCCAUUUACAUUUCUAGCUACGGGUGCGCACGGUUUGGUCCCAAACCAAAAAAUCAAACCAACCGAAACCAAAUCAGACGAUUUGGUUCGAUUUAUAUAGUUUUCGAUUUGGUUUGGUUUGAACACAUUUCUUAAUCGAACAGAACCAAAAACUGAAUAUUAAUAUGCUUUUACACUUAUUAUCUAAACUAUUUGUUAAAAUUUUAUAUUCAUGUAUCAAAACAGUUUUUAAAAUUCUAUAUGAAAAUGUAAAGUAACUAGGUUUCAAACUUGGGAUCUCGAAUGGCAAUCACUAAAUUCUUUGCCACUUGCGAUAAGAACAGUCGGUUCAUGAAGCAAACUUUUGUUAGCGCUUUUGUUCUUUAAUCUUACUACCUAACAUGCAUGUUAGUGAAGUGUUGUAGAAGUUGCACAUCAGCGUAGGCUUGCUCUUUUACAAAAUAAGGGUCAACUGAAUGAAGAGGUUAUACCAAAGCCAACACUUUUCCCUUCUCUAAGCAAGGCACAAAGUGCAAAAGCCAUUGCACAAUCCUCCACCCAAGCAAAGAAUAUCAUUUUAUGUACCUCAAAAGAAGAGGGUCAAAAAAGAUGAUGCUGGAAAGUAAACCACACUGAACAAAAGGAAAAGAGAAAGGGAAAAUGAUAUGCAUCAGCUUCAUUGGUUGCCACCGCAUUCACCGCCCAGCGGGGGGCUACUUCCUGAUGGCGCUGAUGAUCAUCGGCAUCGUGCUGGGCCUGCGCAUCCUUCUCCACAUCCUCGCGAGAUGCGUACAGCGGUUACAAGCGGGCCCAGCGACGAGUGAUGCCUACAACCGGGAGGUCGAGAUGCGAAGAGAAAGAAUGCUGGCUGCAGCAUACUCACAGCAGUGGAGAAGUUCUGGGGCUGUCUGCUCGUCGUUGCCGCCGCCUGAGAAGGAGAGUGAAUGCUGGCAGAGCAAGUUGGUGAUUUCUGCUGGGCAUGAUCAGGUCUUAUAUAUUGCCCACCCUUGCCCUCUAAGAGAGACUGGUAUUGUUAAGUAGAGUGAUCUGUGUGUGUGUGUGUGUUUGUGUUUGUGUGUGCCUGUGAGAGUAUAUGAAGUCACGUACGUACUUUGGUAUCUGCUUUAUGGAGUCAAAUGUACAACUUAAUUAAAAUAUAUAAACUUAUUUUGUGUUUCAGAACAAGUCUACUUCUUCAGUCCAAGAUACUUUACUGCAUGAACAUAUACAUAAGAGAAAACCAAAUGAUAAAUUUAGUUUUUCUUUUUUAUGUUAAUUAUGUCGAUUAUUUGAAGGAAAAAAAAAAUCCAAAAGCUAGAUAAUAGUUGUUAAGACUCACCAGUUUCUUUUUUGAGAAAUGCCAUGGAAUUAAUCAGAGGCCACUCUACAGUAUUCUUCUUAUUUUAUUUUAGGAAUAAUUGCAUAUGCCUGCAAAAGUAUCAAAUAAAAAAUAUAUUUAUGUGAAACUUAAGUUAUCAGAUUUAUUCCUCCAAAAAUCUUUCCGUAUGCAAAAUGUAUCAUUAUGUUAAUAAAAUUUAGAACAUCAUAAGUUAAAAAAAAAAAAAAAAAACCAUGGUUAGCUAAGGUAAAAUAACUUUUUUAUCCCUUAUAUAUUUAAUUUGUAUUCGAAUAUCGAGUCUCAUCAUCUUUCUCAUCUUCUCUUUUUUAUUUAUGACGACGGUGAAAUCUACGACUGUGGCGACGUAGAAAGCAAGGCCCUCGGUCGCAAUAAAAAUAAGGCACGCCACAUGUGCAGCUUCGAAGGCAAGGAGAGAGAGAAAAAAAAAAGAUAAUUUUUUAUCUGGACAAAUUUGUUAGGGUAAAAUAAUUAUUUCUUCCAUAAUUUAUCAGAUUUAUCUCUUCCAUAAUUUUAAAAUAUUUUAGAAAAAUUUAUAAUUUUUUUAAAUUUUUUUUUAAAAAAAUGAAUUGAGAGGGGAUCAAAACCCCUCCUCCCAAGGUUUGCCACUACAGACCUUGCCUUGGGCCUUGUGAUCCAGGUCGUAUCGGGUCAUCGGACCCAAAGGAAGAGGCCUAGCAUGGCCCAAAAUAUCGGGUCGGGCCGUGCCAACACAGCGCUCUAGUACCCAUGCCGUGCUGCAGGUUGGCCCGUGGCCGUGCAUGGGCCGCCCGGCCCAUUUGACAUCCCUAGAUGGCAACCAUUUCAAAACCUUCUUUGUUUGGUUAAUCGCAAUUUUGAUGAUUUCUGAACUUGUCUAAUAUGCUUUACAUUAGAUGUGCCUCGAGUUUAGUUAUUGAGUUCGAUUUUAUACCCUUGACUCACCGAAAUGGAUUCGCGGUGCAGGGGCAAAACCUCCCGCUGUCUGAAUCAGGUCCGAUAUUGAAGAACCCGUUAAAAAAUUUCUUUUUUCUUUUUUGGCCAAUUUGCAUAAAAAAUCCACUUAUUUUGGGCUUUUGCAAAAUCGGGCCACCAUUUUCAUUUUUACAGAUUUGGUCCGCUUUUUCAGCAAACUGACCAAAAUACCCUUAUUACUUUUUCUCUUUCCUCUUUCUCUCUCUUCUUCGUUUCUCUCGUUCUUUUUUUUUUUCUCGCCGGUAGAGCGGAGGCGGAGCGGAGGCAGAAACGGUCCGUCUCGCCUCUCACCCUCAUGCUCUCGCCCUCACCCUUGCCCUCGUCCAUGCACCCCCACCUUCCUCGCCUCCGACCCCGUUAAGGCCGCGCCGCGACUUUUUUUUUUUUGCUUUUUUNNNNNNNNNNNNNNNNNNNNNNNNNNNNNNNNNNNNNNNNNNNNNNNNNNNNNNNNNNNNNNNNNNNNNNNNNNNNNNNNNNNNNNNNNNNNNNNNNNNNNNNNNNNNNNNNNNNNNNNNNNNNNNNNNNNNNNNNNNNNNNNNNNNNNNNNNNNNNNNNNNNNNNNNNNNNNNNNNNNNNNNNNNNNNNNNNNNNNNNNNNNNNNNNNNNNNNNNNNNNNNNNNNNNNNNNNNNNNNNNNNNNNNNNNNNNNNNNNNNNNNNNNNNNNNNNNNNNNNNNNNNNNNNNNNNNNNNNNNNNNNNNNNNNNNNNNNNNNNNNNNNNNNNNNNNNNNNNNNNNNNNNNNNNNNNNNNNNNNNNNNNNNNNNNNNNNNNNNNNNNNNNNNNNNNNNNNNNNNNNNNNNNNNNNNNNNNNNNNNNNNNNNNNNNNNNNNNNNNNNNNNNNNNNNNNNNNNNNNNNNNNNNNNNNNNNNNNNNNNNNNNNNNNNNNNNNNNNNNNNNNNNNNNNNNNNNNNNNNNNNNNNNNNNNNNNNNNNNNNNNNNNNNNNNNNNNNNNNNNNNNNNNNNNNNNNNNNNNNNNNNNNNNNNNNNNNNNNNNNNNNNNNNNNNNNNNNNNNNNNNNNNNNNNNNNNNNNNNNNNNNNNNNNNNNNNNNNNNNNNNNNNNNNNNNNNNNNNNNNNNNNNNNNNNNNNNNNNNNNNNNNNNNNNNNNNNNNNNNNNNNNNNNNNNNNNNNNNNNNNNNNNNNNNNNNNNNNNNNNNNNNNNNNNNNNNNNNNNNNNNNNNNNNNNNNNNNNNNNNNNNNNNNNNNNNNNNNNNNNNNNNNNNNNNNNNNNNNNNNNNNNNNNNNNNNNNNNNNNNNNNNNNNNNNNNNNNNNNNNNNNNNNNNNNNNNNNNNNNNNNNNNNNNNNNNNNNNNNNNNNNNNNNNNNNNNUCUUUCUUUUCUUCUCGGACUCUUUCUCACACCUGCAUGUCUCUUGACGACGACGCUCUUCUCGCCUUUCCGCCCUUUCUCAUCUUCCUUCUCCUCAUUCUUGGUGUGCGCCUCGACGAACAACUCUCUCCCAACAGCCACGGUGCCGGCGACGACACCGCUAAGGACCCCCGCUCCGAGCCUGUAGCGCCGCAGUGACCUCCACGGUGUCGACGUCGGCGCCGGCGAAGAUGCAUCGUCGUCGGAGGCGGCAGAGAAUGAGGAAGAGGGAGAGAUGAGAAGGGCGGGAAAGGACGAGAAAGACGAGAGAGGCAUCGUCGUCAGAGACGGUGGAGAAGAGUCGGAGAAGAAAAGAAAAGAAAAAAGCAAAAAAAAACAAAAAAAAAGUCGUGGCGCGGCCUUAGCGGGGUUGGAGGCGAGGAAGGUGGGGGGUGCGUGGACGAGGGCAAGGGCGAGGGCGAGGGUGAGGGCUAAAGAAUGAGGGUGAGAGGCGAGACGGACCGUUUUCGCCUCCGCUCUGCCGGCGAGAAAAAAAAAGAACGAGAGAAACGAAGAGGAGAGAGAAAGAGAAAAGAGAAAAAGUAAAAAAGGUAUUUUGGUCAGUUUGUUGAAAAAGUGAACCGAAUCUGCAAAAACGAAAAAGGUGGCCCGGUUUUGCAAAAGCCCAAAAUAAGUGGAUUUUUUAUGCAAAUUGGCCUUCUUUUUUUCUAGAGACGAUACAGUGAAUUGUAUUUCUAUAAUAUUGUAUUCUUUUUUCGUAUAGUAAAGUUCGCUCAACUUUCUCUUAUGAUUUUUUCCUGAAAAAUGUUUUCAACGUAAAUUCUUGUGUUCUAUAUUUUAUUUUAUUUUUUUUUGUAGUUUGUCUAUUUUGCGAUUACCCUUUUUUAGUUAUGUUUGUGCGUUCGUUGUGACACUUUAACCAUAAGAUGUAACGAUCAUCUUCCCUUUUUAGGGCCUAUUUGGUAUUAAGGCUUAUCGACUGCUGGAUAAGAUUUUUUUUCGAUGAGAUAAUAAAAUAUAUAUUAUAAACAAUUCAUUACGUUAUACUUACAACUCCUAAAAAAUAUUUUUUAGAAAACAACUCGUGCAUAGCUAGCUAUAGCUACGCGGACAAAUCCGAACCUGCUGUCACAAGACCUAAGAUUAUUAUAUUUUUAGCAUUUGAAGUAAAGUACCGAAGUAGGACUUUUAUAUUUCAAGCCCAUUAUUAUAUAUCAGAUAUAACCGUAAAUUUUAAGUAACCCUCUAUAGUUUAGAAUUAUUUUUUUACAUUAAUUAUUAUUUUAUAAUUUCAAAAGUUUUACAACCAUAUGUGAUUAAAGACCUGUCGUUAGAUAGAAUAUUAAAAUUCUACAAUUUAUAAACCACAAGAUAAUAAAAAAUUUCUUUUACAAAUCAUGUGAUGGUAAAGUAUAAUGUACUACUAACCUAUAAUUUGUAUUUAACUACUCUCUAAUUUUUAAAUUAUAAUACUUUACUACCUUGUUUAAUUUGAUAGUUGGUCCUAAUGAAACGAAAAUAACAACAUAGAAGGAUAAAAUGAAACUUCCGAACAAUAGAGUAGGAAAAUAAAAAUACACUAAAUCACAUUGGGUGGUUAAAGUUCUAUUUUUAGCAUUGUUUUUUUAUAAUUUCAAAUGUUUUAUGACCAUGUGAUUCUGUUUUUCUUUUACCGUACAUGAAAACCUGCCGUUAAAUCGAAUAUUAACUAUGCAAAUCAUAAGAUAACUAAAUGCUAUGUAUUUUACAAAGCAUGCGGUGGUAAAAUAUAGUACAUUAUUAACCUAUAAUUUGUGCUUAACUAUUCUCUGAUUAGUAAAGUAUAAUACUUUACUCCUUAUUUAAUUUAAUGGUUGGUCCUAAUGAAACAUAAAUAAAAACAUAUAUAGAGGGGUAGUAAAAUGAAACUUCCAAACAUUAGAGUAGGAAAAUAAAAAAACGCUAAUCACAUCGGGUUGGUUAAUUAAAGUACUACUUUUAGCAUUGCUUUUUUAUUAUUUCAAAAGUUUUACGACCAUGUGAUUCUAUCUUUCUUUUAUCGGACAUAAAGACCUGCCGUUAAAUCAAAUAUUAAAAUUCUAUACAAACCACAAGAUAAUAAUAAAAUGUUAUCUAUUUUACAAAUCAUGCCGUGGUAAAAUAUAAUGUAUUACUAAUCUAUAAUUCGUAUUUAACUAUUCUCUGAUUAUUAAAGUAUAAUACUUUAGUACCUUGUUUAAUUUAAUAGUUGAUCCUAAUAUAGAAGGGUAAAAUGAAACUUCCAAACAAUAGAGUAGGAAAAUAAAAAAACGUGAAAUCACAUUAGGGUGGUUAAAGUACUAUCUUUAGAGUAUGUUUGGAUGCACAGUAAAAAAUCUCCACAGAAUUUAUAAACUAUGGUUUUGGUCCAAAUGAAAUAGGAAAUUCUAUAACUCUAAAAAAAUUCCACGAAUUUAAUUUUUAAACUGUUUGGAUGCGCAUUAUACAAUUUCACAGGAUUUCUCUAAAUUUUAAAAUUAAAAGUUAAAUUUUAAAAUUUAAAAUUUCAAUGAAAUUUAAAAUUUAAAAUUAGAUAUGUGAAAUGUGAAGUUUUAAAUUUUAAAUUUUAAAUUUCAAAUUUAAAAACUAAAAAUAUAAAAAUAUAAAAAUCUAAAUUUAAUUUUUAAAUUUUUAAAAUUUAAAUUUUAAAAUAAAAAGUUUAAAAUUUAAAAUUUAAAAAUAAAUUUUACACAUUAAAGUUCAAUUUUAAAAUAUUGAAACUAUGAAGAUUGAGAUUGAAUUUAAAUUUAAAAUUUAAAAUCUAAAUCGUGAAAUUUGAAAUUUCAAAUUUGAAAGUUAAAAAUUGAAAAUUAAGAAUCAAAAUAUUUAAAUUUUAAUUUUAAUUUAUAUAUGUAAAUUUAAUAAUUUUAAUUUUUAAUUUUGAAAUAUGAAAUUAAAAUGACAAAUUUUAAAUUUAAAUUUAAAUUAAAAAAUCAAUUUCUAAAUUACAAUUAGAGUUAAAAAUUGAAAUUAUAAAUUAGAAAUUUACACAUUUGAAAUUCUAUUAUUGCUAACUAAAAUGUUUAAAAUUUGAAAAUAUAUCGAAAUUACAUUUGAAUUAUUAUGAAAUUUAGAAAAUUUAAUAAUUAAAAUUUGAGCAUUCUAAAGAUUUAAAAUUUAAAAUUUAAUUUAUUGAUAGUUUAAAUUUAAAUUGCAAAAUCAAAUUUAAUUAUUGAAAUUAAAAUUUUGAAUGAUAAAUUCAUUAUAAUAAUUUUAAUAAAUUUAUAAAUCUAUGUUGUAAUUUAAAAUUUAUGCUUAGAAUUUAAAAGUUAGAAGUUAGAACUUGAUGAUCUUUGCGCAAGAAUGGGUAGAAUUCUUAUUGCUUUCGGUUAGAGUGGAAUUAUAAUUUUACUCUAAUUUUGGAGUAUUAGUUUAACUUACUCUCCACAAAUCACGUCUUUUUUUUUCUAUUUUUAUUUCUCUCAACGCUUUCAUAAGGAUAAUAUUUCCUCUACCAGGUACGAUAGUUUGGCUCGUUUUAAGGUAUCCAAACGGCCUGGUCUUAAGCGUUUUUUUAUAAUGUUGUCAAAAGUUUUACGACUAUAUAAUUGACUCUGUCUUUCUUUAACUACUUAAGCGACCUGCGCUUUAAAUCAAAUAUAAUUCUAUACAAACAGCGAGUAUUUAAAGUGCUCAUCUCAUUUUACAAAACCAUGCUAGCUCAUUUAGCGUAAAUUAUAAAAGAACAUAGCGGCGUUUCAUAAAAUGAAAUUCUAAACAUUUUAGUAGGAGAAACAGAAAUUUACACUAAUCAGAAUGGGGGUGGUUAAAGUACUACUUACCCUUGAUAAAAAGACAGCUUAGCUAUACUAUAUCAGCACCCAGGAGCAGGUUUGACAAUAAAACAACCUGCAGUUUAAACUUCAAUACAGAUCAAAUGCUUAAAACUAAGGAAAAACUUCAAAAAACCCCCUGUGGUUUCGUACUUUCUCAUUGUAGUACCCUGGGGUUUAAAGUGUAUCAAUUUAGUGCCAUGUGGUUUCAUUUUUAUAUUUUCGACAGCUUUUUCGUUAAUAUUUCGUUAAAUUAUAUACAAAAAACUUCAGAUACCCAAUCUAGGUUUAUCGAAUAUUCACUUUAGUACCAUUUAAUUUUAACUUUGUCACUGAUUUAAGAAAAAAAUAGUAAAAUUGAUAAUAAAAAGAGAAAAAUGAAACCACAUGGCACUAAAUUGAUACACUUUAAACCACAAGGUACUAAAAUGAGAAAGUGCGAAACCACAGGGGGGUUUUUGAAGUUUUUCCUAAAACUAAAGACUAAAUUAAAGCUAUGGUGUACCAGUUCACUUCAAAAGAAAUAAAAAGUACUAAUUAAGAGGCAGCGUCCAAUUAAUGAGUCCGUUUGCCAUACUAUCGGUAGAGACCUCCGUGCUACCAAAUUGUUUUCAAUGAUGCGACUUUCAAAUCGACGAUUGACUCCUUUAAACUUGAUCAAUACUAUUGAAAGUAUUUGAAAAAUAAAUUUCAUAAUUUUUUAACAUUAUUUACCAAUCAAACGAGUAGUGUAAAAAUAAAUGAUUGAAAAUAAAAAUUUCAUAAAAAAUGAUGAUAAAAAACUUGAAUUUAAAAUCAGAGGUACUAAUCUUAUUCUAAAUAGUGAAAAAAAAAUUUCUUUAAAAAUUUCAUCGGAUUUGAAUUGUUUUAUACUGUUAAAUUCAUAAACGUAUCGCAUCGAUCAUUAAAAUUAUCAAUUUUGACACAUUUUGAUCACUAGCGAAAAAUGUAAAAAAAUUAUAAAAUUUAGUUUUCAAAUACUUUCAGUAGUGUAAAUCAAAUCUAAUGGAGUUGAUCAUUGAUUUAGAAGCUGGAUCACUGAAAACAAUUUUAUUGUACGGAAGCCUCUGUGCUACCGAUAGUAUAGGAGCCUAGCUCAAUUAAUAUUUAGCAAACGGUUCUCACAUCUGUGAUGCAUAAAAGUGCAGCANCUAGAAAUAAACGGCUGAAAAUAAAAAUUUCAUAAAAAAUGAUGAUAAAAUAUGUGAAUUUAAGAUCAGAGAUCUUACUCUAAAUAAUGAAAAAUAAUAAUAAUAAAAAUUUCAUCGGAUUUGAAUUGUUUUACACCGUUAAAUUCUAGAACGUAUCGCAUCGAUCAUUAAAAUUAUCAAUUUUGACACAUUUUGAUCACAAGUUUAAUGAGAAGAGACAUGAACUUAUACAUCCUUUGUCGAUCUUACCUACAGCGAUCUCUAUAUAUCAUUUCGAUUCUGCCAUCUAUUUGUGUUUCUAUUUUUCACCUAUCCCUUUAUGUGCACAUUAUAUAUGUACAUACCAUAGUGCCUUAAUUGCUAGAUCUAUUGGAAGUUCUGAUGUACCAUUUCUUAGGUUGGAGAUAUCAAAAAUACAAUAAUUAUGACUAUAGCAAUUAUAAUUGUGUGUGUUUUAUUUGGUUGGAUGCAGUAGAGAACACCAAAACGAGAAGUAAUUUAUUAAUUUGCCUGCUGAUGAGAAGUAUGCGUAUAAAAUUUUAUCAUAUUAUACAUGGGAUGGAUAUAUAUUACUCCCUAUGUAGACUGUUUAAAAAGCGAUUAGUUAAGCUUACUUUUUAUUUAGAGUUUCUAUAUCUGUUGUAGUUGAAAACUGUAGCCAAAUUUGAGCGUAGUUUCAACUAUUAUAGUUGAGCCUUUGCGUACAGUUUCAACUUGAGGAGCGGAAUCUAAAUGCAUCAAAUAAAAUACCUGAUUUAAAUCUACAUGCAAUUAUAACUAUAAUGCAGUUGCAACUAAUAUACAACCAAAUAGCCUGAGUUUCAAGAUCCUCCUGCAUGCAAUGUGGCAAUGUUUCCUCUAGUUAAUCAAUCGGACUACAUUCAUUAAUUGGAUCAACAAAUUGGCACGCAAACACUCAAUAAUAAGAAAGUGGUUGAAAGUAUAAUAAUACACUAUAUAUACAAAACAUUAUAUUGAUAAAAUAUAUACUCAGAUAACAGGGUGGGAAAAAAAAAAAAAUCUGCACUUGAGGCCUAAUUAACUAGUUUGAAGUACCAUCUUUGCCACAAAGAAUCCUGACCUAUAUCUAUAGCAGAAUUUGAAAGGACACAAAUGGGCCCAUUCACUCAAAAAAAACACAUCCAAUAGAAAAGGAUACAAUCUUCUAACUUUGAAGGAAGUCUAUUAUGUCACACUUAUACCACAUCAUCAAUAACCAGUCAAUCACAUCUCAUCUUUUAGAGAAAAGUACAAUAAAAAUAUUUUCUAAUAACCAUGAUGUAAUAGCUAGGUGAACUCAAAAAAGAAAAAUCUGAAUGGUUUGAGAUGCCAUAUCCACAAUAUAACUCGUGCAUUCUAGAUUUUUUUUCCUAACUGGGACACCCAUUCCACUCAAGAAACACAUCCUCUCAAUGGUCCAAAUUAAAAGACACUAAUUUCUGAUUAACAAACUCAAUGGUUGCACCAACACAUGUGCACAUACACACUAAUUAAUAACUUUCAUCAAUUAACACAACUCCUCAAUGCACCUUUUCAACAACAGGUUUAAACCAACAACAUACGCAAACGUAAUUAAGCACAUAUAUAUGUAUAUGUAUGUUUGUGUAUUCGUACUAAUGUUUAGUCAUCACCUUAAUGCAUUAAAUCCCGUAAUAAUUAAUAUAUAAUAUGUAAGACUAGCUAGCUAGUUGGCAUGCAUAUGCAUUUAGGUAGGAGUAAAAAUAUAUGUGGGCUUCUGAAGACAUCAAAAAGACCCCCAAUAACAACAUCAAUAUAUAUAUAUAUAUAUGUCAAUUAAUUAGUUGCAUAUUCUUUAAUAGAUUUAAUAAUUCCGCAUGCAAAAUGCCACCAAUAAAUGAUAUACAAAGCUUGUACUAUAUAUAUAUAUAUAUAUAAAGAAUAUAUUGCAUAAGAAGUGAUGGGUGUGGUGGGGAGCUGUUGCACGCAGCAGCCAUAUUGGCUCUGCAUGGCUGGUAAUGCAAGUGGUUAAGUACAUUUAAGUGCAUAUCACAUGCAUCCAAUAAUACUAUUUGGAAUAUUUAUGUGUGACCACUUUCUACUACCUUAAGCUUCGUUUAUUUUUUCUUUUUCCUUUUUCUCUUUGUCUACCAAUAAAUUUGCAUUAGUAUAAGAUGAAAAUAAAGUUGGACUAUUCACAGGACCCCCCCCAAAAAAAAAAAAACUGAAUUUUGGCUAGCUAGAUAUAAUAAAUUUGCCAAGUGAAUGACAAAACAGCUAUCUUAAUAUCAUCUAUCUUACAUAAGGAUAAGAGGCCAAAUUUGUCAUGUUUAAUUUAGUCAUAAGAGUGUUGUCAAUGAAACACAAAUGUAUAUAACAUAUGAUUGUUGAUGAUUGCAUGGCUGUUCAAAACUUAGUGAUACAAUAUAUAAUUUUCACUAUAUGGCAUUGAAAGGAGGUGUUUAGAUUUUGAUAGUACUUAAGGAAGAAAAAUGAUGCGAAAGUUGUGAUUCGGUAUGAUUAAAUAUAGGUAUAUACGUCGACCUUGUGAGACGACAUAUGUAAAUUGAGAUACUCUAUUUAAGUUUCCAUGUACCCUUGCUCUCAAAAAAGAAUAAAAAAAAUCCAUGUACCAUAGCUAGAUGAUGUAAAAAUUGAUCAGUAAAGGGUUGUAUAUAUUCUAUGGUAGUCAGUUGGAAGUUAUAUAUGGUUAUCAAGCAACCGUAAGUGCGCAAAACAUGCAUGCAGACUAGUAACAGCAGUAUGUAUAUAUGUCAGAAACAAAAAUAAUCACAUUGUACGGUUAAGAAAUUCGAGAAGAACACUGCAACAAAUGUUAACAUGAGAGGGCCAUAUCUCUCAUUCGACAUGCAAAAACUACGGCCUUUUCAAUUAUAGGCACAUUAUCAGACAUCUCCUAUCAUGCUUCAUCAUGAUUUAAAUAUUUCCCCCUUUUUAUAGGAAAUGACCGAACUAAUUUUAAUUCUUUGAUCACAAGAAUCCAAUUAUCCAAAUUGUGAAUUCAAAAGACGAAUGAAGAACUAAGAGCAAGAAAAAUAUAGGAUCUCUAGCAACUGAGUGUUUGUUUGAAUAGAACAAAUUUUCUACUGAUAAUGUACGUAAUUUCGAGAAUUUUCUUUUGUAAUUGCAAUCUAAAAUCUUGCGUUUAGACCCAUACAAGGUCCUAAUAGUAAUGUUUGAUAGGAUAUUCGAUCUAUUCCAACAAACAAAAUAAUUUAUCUUAUUCCAAAAGAAAUCACCCAGUGGCCAAAUAUAGUACACUAUUAUAAACAUCUAAUCAAAAUCUUAAUCAUAAAUUACUACGCACGUGCUUUUUAUGUAAACAAAAGAAGUACAACAAACGAGAUGUCAUGCAUCAAAAUAGACACCAUUAUCAAUCGCGCGCACGAGAGAGUGAAAGAGAGAGAUUCCACAUAUAUAUGUAUGCUGGGUACAGUGAAGUUGGUGUAGUGAGAGAAAAUGUGCCCUUGGCACAAUCAAACAUAUCCUAGAGGACCCGAACUGUUCUAGUUUUUAUCGGUAACCUUUCGAUAGAGCUCCUACGUAAACAUUUUAGUUGAAGUGUGUUACUUGUCCCAAAAAUUUAAAGUGUGUUAAGUUUUGGAUCUUUAUAAUAUUUAUCCAUUACUAGUCUCUUCCUAGUGCUCUAUGAUUGUCAAAGUGAACAGGAGACAAAAACACUUCAUUAAUCUACUAGCUACUAAAAGAAGGGCAAAGAUCACGCUAUGUUCAUGCACUCACUACAACAGAAUUAGGUUAUAGGGACACAUAUUUGGGACACUUUUGUCUAAGUGUCCCAUUUAUGUCAAAAUUUAAAAAAACAUCUACUAAUACAUAAAUAUAAAGCCGAAUCCAAUAAAAAAUAAAAUGUUAUUAUAUUCAACCCACCCAACCCAGCCCAUUUGGCCCGAUUCCAAAUAGAAAAGAAAAAAAAAAAGAAAAAUCGAUUACCAUCUCCUCUUCUCCCCUCACUCAAUCCACUGAAAUUCUAGACGAAGGGCCCUUCCCUCUCGUCCUCCUCCGCCACCGCAGCCAACGAGAUAGAGUUCCGGCAGUUGUUAUAUGCUUAAAUAAGUGUUGCUAAAUUAACAUCACUUUUUUAGGUUAUAGCGACAUUCUUUAACUGUCACUAUAUACCUAGCGACCCCACAUAUAGCAACACUUUUUAAAAGUGUCGGUAAUUUAGCCAGCAACACUUUUUUUGACCUAUACCGACAUUUAAAAGUGUCGCUAUAGACCGUUUUUGUUGUAGUGACUCUACAAAUCUCUUUGCAAUGAAAUGAGGAACAUAUAUGUUUUAGCUUCACUAAAUCCAAUUGCUUGCACAUGUGAACCAAGUGAAAAGCAUUUGGCAAAUUUUUUUCGGGUUAGAAGAUACAAAGUGUUGGUCUAGCUUUUGAUGUUUUAGAAUCGCCUAUAAAUGCAUAUGCUUUUGUAUGUUUAGAAAAUAUGAACACAAAUGUGCCGAAUAUAUAUUGUAACUUAAAAAUUAUUAUACAGUUGGGGAAAACCAAACCAUGAAUCGAUCCAAGAACAUCUUGAAAAACUCGAUCUUGGGGUUACAACUUCAGCUCCAAAUCGAGAUCUUCUUUUGUGCUAUAUUCGCAGUUUGGAUUAUCUGAAUCUAUUUGCUGGCUUUUCCUGUGAGUUGAAUCCUACGUAACAAUCAAGUGUAGUUAGCAUGAAAUACUAUAUAGAGAAAUAUUGAUAUACGGUCACUAACAUGUUGCAAGUAAAUAAUUUCAAACCUCAGUGGUUUGUUCGAAGAGGGGAAGCGUUACGUUUUGUGGCGCAUAAUAAUGGGAAGGAAUGGUUGCGUUAGGAUCCGAAAUUGGUCUAGCAUGUAAAAAAAUAGCAAGUUAGAACAAUAUUUAUUAAUGCAAAGUAAAUUUGGAGGAUAGAUCGAUACGAAAAGAUAAAAUAGUACCUGAUGACAGGAGUUAGCCCGAAUCCACUGUAUCGAAAAUCUGUUCUUUCAUCACCUCCGUAUGCCGUCUAAAGACCAUAGUAAUUAAAGCUUAGUAGCUUAUAGUUAAAAAAAAAUUCAUGUAUCACACUAUCAUGUAAGAAAUUCAAGAGAUCUUUAUCAACAAAAUGAUGACCAAAUUGAUUUAAUGCUAUGGUGGAAUUAUGUAACAUCAGGAAAAAAAAAAAAUCAAUGCCAAUAAAUUAUAGUUUCAAGUUGGUUUUUUUAAGUGCUAGUGUAACCAAAAGAAACCAUACAAAUUAAGAUGUUGAUGAUCAUGAAUAUGAAAGAUUAGGCUUCAAUUCCCUUUGCAAUUUAAAAAAGAAAGAAUUAAUUGCAUAAUGAUUAUGCAGAAUAAGAGGUCACACACAAAUCAAAACGAUGUUCAUCUUCUAUCAUUUGAACUAAAUCCAUAGCUAGCAUUAAUUUGCAUAAUAUCAAGAUCUACAAAGCCUACCAUAACGUUUGGAUGAACAGCAAACAACGAUGACGACGUAGUGAUGACUGAAGAAGAGGGCACCGACGAUGAAAGCACCAUGGGAAUUCUCACUUGAUCCUCCUAUUUAAAUACAAAACAAAAAUAAAAUGUUAACUAAGAUUGUAGAUGAUAAGAAUCAUUAUUUAGUAAAUAUUGUAUUGAAUUUUAAGUUUAGGGAGAGAGAGAGAGGACCAUGUUGAGAUUAGUGAGGAACGGAGGCUGCAGCGGUGGAAGAUACUCAGCCAUUUCGCUUUGCAAUCUGAUCUUCUCCAGCUGAGCCACUCCAAGCCCUCUUUGUGGUUGCUUUGGCUUCUCCGAACUGCUUUUUUUUCCUCUUCUCGAUGAACCUGCCGAACUGUCACUAUUACCCGUCCCCAUUUUUUGAUCGCCAAAGUUUCUACUACUCAUAUCACUAUUUCCGCAACAACUACUAGAUAGCUAAUGAAUCCAAUUCUCGCUAAACCUCUAUAUCUCUCAACACUUUCUACGAUUCAUUGGGCCAAGAUCAAGAAUACUUCAGAAAGAUGAGAAAGAGCUGAACCAAGUAGCAUCGACCUUCCGAAGGGCGAAAUAUGGAUCUCUAAGAUCCAUUAAAAAGGGGUUUGAUGAAUGAUUAUAGGUGACAUAAAAGGGGUCAUUUUCCUGCGCCCUUUUUCUUUGAUUAAUUUCUGUGCGUGGUUAGUGUGUCCUUAUUUGUUUAUAGUAUCAUGACACACCAUGUGAUUUAAGCUCAAUACUAAACAAAGGCUUUAGUGUUUGAUUUGUCAAAGAUGACUAAAGGGAUCUUUUGCCAUUAAAUAUUACAGUAGAAAUUUGGCAAGUAAAAAUUAUAAAUGUGCAAAUUAUACUAUGGUAAAAAUACUUUGUAUGUAUAAAUUUAAUAGCUGAGAUCUGUAAUCGAAUAUAGAGAAGGUAAUCUACAUGUUAGGUUCUACACUUUUCAAAAUAUUUCAGAAAAGUAUAAGCCUCUAAGCUUUAAGAUUUUCUUUCAUAGAAGUGCUGAUGAGCAUUUUUCAAAAUUGAAACAUAGUACUCUAAAAGUUUUUCAUUAACAAGUUCGAAACAUUUGCCUCGUUUUUCCAAGUUUUAUCGUUAUACAUGAUGUGCUUUGAUCUCUUAUUGCAGUUAUAUCGAUCUUUUGAUCAAUGCCGUUCUCUCUCCUACGCUUGUAAUUUAUUAAGCUUCAUAUGUUCUUCAAGUUGGAGUCGUUAAAAUUCUAUUAAAGAGAGAAAAACUAAUUAACAAGGAAUACGGUUAGAUUAUAAUUAAAGAGGAAAAUUAGAAAACUUUGUAAAAAUUGCUAUGCAAAUGCAGGGACCUGGAUAUGAAUUGUCCAAACAAAAUUGCAGGAAAGCAAACUAUAUAUGCAUCACAAAUAUUUCUAUAAAUCUUGCAUGUCUGUGUCGGACGCUCACGUGUCCGUGUUAGACUUGUAUCCAACGCGAAUGGGCUAUGGACGUGCAUCAAAGAUAAUAAAUAUUUUAGUUUUUUCUUAUGUAUGCAUACAAAUGGUUUUGGACAAUAUGAAUAAAUUAUGUAAGGUGAAAAUUUUUUUUCUUAAAAUAUAUGAACUCUCAAUGAGAAUUCUAUUAACUUUCAUUUCUAUGAGAAAUAUAAUAAUAUUUUAGCAAAAUUAAUACUUCAUAUAUACUAAAUAUAUUACUAUAUUAAUAAUAUUAUAUUUUAUUAGCAGUGUUCAUACCAUGUCUGCGUCCUAAUUUUUUAAAGGUUGUCAAGUUGCCUGUCUGAGUUGAGUCGUGUCGUGUCCGGUGUCUUGUGCCCACGUCCAUGACGCGUAGAAGGCACAUUAACAUGUAUAUUUUGAACUAAAGUACUAAACUAUAUAUAUAUAUAUAUAUAUAUAUAUAUAUAUAUAUAUAUAUAUAUAUAGAGAGAGAGAGAGAGAGAGAGAGAGAGUCCGGCUGGGAUACUACCGAUAGCACCAAGGGCUUGGUGUUAUCGAGUUUUCCACUGUUAAAUUUAACCUUUUGAUUAUAUUUACUCGUUAGAUUAUAAUAUUCAAUCAACCACUCACUCAAUCCUAGAGGGCCCGCAUCAUCCUAACCGCAUAUUUCUCAAUCCAAGUGCUAAAAAACUAAUAGCACCAAUAGCUUAGUGUUAUUGAUAGUAUUCCAGCCGAGUUAUAUAUAUAAUAUAUAGAGUUAGGCUGGAAUACUAUCGAUAGUACGGAGGCCUCCGUGCUACCAAGUUAUUUUCAAUAAUGCGGCUUCCAAAUCGACGAUCGGCUCCGUUAGACUUGAUCUACACUAUUGAAAGCAUUUGAAACUAAAUUUCAUAAUUUUUCGACAUUAUUUGGUUAGUGAUCAAAAGGUCUCAAAAUUGACAAUUUUAAUGGUAGCUGUGAUGCGUUUGUAAAUUUAACGGUGUAAAACCAUUCAAAUCUGAUGAAAUAUUUAUAGAAAAUUCUUUUCACUAUUUAGAGUAACAUCAGUACCUCUGAUCUUAAAUUUAAAUCUUUUAUUAUCAUUUUUUAUGAGAUUUUUAUUUUCAGCCGUUCAUUUUUAGACUACUCGUUUGAUAGGUAACUAUAUACCAUACUUUAGUGGGGGAUUAAUUUUGAAGUUUUUAUUUCCAAAUCAACUGUUACAGGAGAAUCUACCAGCUACUUUGGUAUAUAUUAUAGUCGUAAAGCUCCUUUGGAUUAGAUUUUCCCGUAUCAUGAUGUGAUUACGUACCAGCAAGUUUCUGUGGAAGCUCCAAAUAAACGAGCGCGAACAACACGUGGGGUGACCUAGCAAACGUAGUAAUCGGCAUCUGUUUAGAUUCGGUGCCGAUUUUGGUUCGUAGUUUUGGUUGCCAUAUCCACUUCACGUGUAAGAAGGACCACUAGAUAUGGGUUUGGUUGCUUCAAUCUCCCUUGAAUAUUAUUUAAACGGAUACUUAGUCAAUUAUAAGCCACUAAUUAUACUUGUUAACGAUUCCCUGUGUCGGAAAAAAGCUGUAAUAUUUGGGACAGGAAUAUAUGAGACCCAUGUGUGCAAUCUAUUGGAUUGUGUAGUUGUGAUCAACUUUGAUUAACUAAAGCAUUUUACAAGUUUUUUUUUUUUAAUAAUACAUUUUUUCGGCAUGGAAAUUUUUUAAUUGUGGGAAGAAUAAUAGGAAGGACUAGCUACUAUUGUAUGAGGUUCAUAAAGCUUGGUUAGUUGUACUUCUGAAUUUUGAAAAAAAAAUUUGUGGCUCUCUUGCUCUGGAAUCUGUAAUCUCAAAUUAAAAAUUUUAUAUUCGAUACGUUACCAAUUAAUUAAUUUAAUUUAGUCGAUCAUUCGCACUGAAUCGUCAUCAAGUUUGCUAGACAUCGUCAGCUUGUGAUUGUUACGUGACAAAAUAAAUGCUAAAAAGCUCUUAAUUAACUUCAACAAAAGUACAAAUUAUCACAAAUUUCCAACUUGGUUACCCAAAUGAACCUCCUAAUUAAUUAAACUCUAGUCGUAUUAUAUAUUCAGUCAAUUUUUUAUACAGUUAGAAUAUUUAAUGGGAUAUCAAUAGGGCGAUUGAUUAAAGAAAAAAGGAAAAUCUUGUUCAUGUGAUAUACUUUAGGUUUCCAAACUUUAGGUGACAACCAUUUCUCUUUGCAAUUAAUUAAAUAUGUACUCCUCAACUAUUGGCCAUUCCAAAUAGGCCCUGAACUUAUUAUUUUUAGAUAACCACUCUCUCAAUUUUUAUGUUUUUAAUUAAUUAGUUUCCCUAAUUAAUUAAGUUGGUGAGUUGAGUUGAAACUUUUUUUUUUCCUUUUUGAUAGAAGAGUUACUUAAAACCUUGUAAAGGUUAUAUAGCACUAGUAGUUGUUGUUGGAAUUAGAGGGCGGCAGAAAUUUGCAAACUAGCACUACAACAAAAUAUAUUUUUACCGACGCUUUAAAGCGUCGCUAAUUAUUAUUUAAAGCGUCCUUAAAUGUAAAAUUUGUUGUAGUGUAGAUAGCCAAUGUAUCCAAAAAAACAAAAUCUAAUUGGAUUGCUUGUUUUAUUAGCCUUCUUUGGAUCAAGCUUAUCUCGAUGUUUCUAAAUCUUCUACGUAACUUUUGGAUCUUCCACGUAUCUAACUUUCUCCCACGUGUUGUGGAUCGUCGAAUGUAAAGAAGGCUAUCAAAGUCCUCUUCUAUAUCCAUACUCCAAAACCCUGAGAAUGUAUGUGAAAAUCCUAGAAAGAAAGAAGAGAGAGGAGAAAAUGAAAACUCUAUUUUCUCGUAUAUUCUCAUAGAUACAAAAUCCAAGAGAAAGGGAUCGAAUUCAUAGAUUAUCAAGACUCCUUGGAAUAUCCUGAUUGAUCACAUAGAGAUUGGGAUUAGAAUAUCUAUUAAGAUAUUUAUUAGGAGAUAUAUUUCUUAACUAAUAAGAAACAUAUAAUACAUUAUAUUAUCCGACUUAUUAGGGUAAAUCACAAUUCACAUCUUAUGUAGAUUAGGUUAAAUUAAAAACGGCCAAUGUGGACACACCACAUGGCAAUAGUUCUCAAACUUUAAGAGGGUGACAUAGUUAACCAUAAAAUUUUAUUUGUUAAAAUUUAUGCUUCAAACUUUCCAAAUUAUCAUAAUUAGGUCUCACUAUUGAAUUAAGUUGACUGGAGAAUGACUAAUGUGGAACCAAGGAUUUAAAUAUCGUGGCACGGGAUCGUGCCGGAAACUUUCCAGUACAUACGGCACAAUUCAUGCCAGGCCGUGCUGGUGCGUACCGGUCACAAAAAAUUCAUAUGUGCUAAUAUAUAAUAGCAUGCACUAUUUAUUUUCUUUAGCAACAAAAUAUUGCAACUAUUUAAUUUUUAUGUAUUUUUAUCAAAUCUUUUGAAUUUUAUUGAGAAAAUUAUUUACUAAUUUAAAGAAUAGAGGAUUUUAAACUGUGCUAUCAGUAUCAGGCUGUAUUAUGUUGAUAUCUUGUUGGCACGAUACGGCACAAUAGAUAUGGCCUAUGUCGAUCGGCACUUAAAUCCUUGUGUGGAACUAAGGUGGCAUUCUAGUUAUUAUCAUGUCAUCAAUUAGAAUGACUAUGAUGAUGUGCUAUGGAUUAUGGGCACAAUAUUUUAGUCUUGGUCUUUUUUCCACAUGUCACUGGGAGAAAAAAAAAAAAAAAAGAGAGAGAUUAUAGGAGAAGUUUUUGUUUAUGCACAUGCCUAGCUCACUAAAUCGCUAGCGUCUAAAGCUAGCUUGCUUAUGACUUUUUUCAUAUGUUGGCCUUUGUUCAUGUCAUGAAUAUAGCAUUAGUAUCUAAUGAAUCAUCCUAUGGUUUGAAUACCUUUCAUUUAAAAUUUAUUUAUAUAUAGUGCAUGGAUGAUCUGAUGCACCUAGUGUAUGGAAUAAUCCUCCCCCUCCACCACCCCCCUCCUCUUUCUAGUGAUGGUAAUUUUUCCCUCUCUCUUCCCCUUCUAGUGAAGGGAAUUUCCCCCCUUUCUCUUCCUCAUCUCUCUUUCCCUUCUAGUGAAGGGAAUUUCUCUUCUUUUCUCUUCCCCUUCUAGCUAGUGAUGGGGAGCUGGCAGUAUCACAUCCCAAGAAGUCACCCAUCCUAGUAAUUUUCCCCUCUUUCUUCCAUUUCUAGUGAUGGGGAGUUGAGGAACCUAUUGGGCCAAGCUCAUUGACCCAAAAUGUAGAAACCUGAUUAUUAGUCUACGGUAUCUAGCCUUAUAUUUCCCACACCAUUUUACUGUCUGAUGUGGGGCUAUUUUCUAGCCUGGGGUUUUAUUGACUCCCUUGCUUUUAAGCCCUAAUGUCCUCAUCAGGUUCAACCAAAUGCAUAGCCCAAGAUCGUCACGCGAUGUGAGAACUCAUCUUAUACUUUCAGUUGGCAAACUGCUCUGAUACCCCUAUCACAUUCUAGGGGGUAACCAAUCCUAGGGUUGCUCUUAACUAAGUAUGUUAACUAAGGAACCUAACACUGAUAACCCAUUGGCCCAAAUCCACUGAUGCAAAAUGCUGACGCCCAGUUAUUAGGUCUAGACUAUACAACCUUAUAUACUCCACACCAUAAUCCUUGACUAUCCGAUGUAGGACUAUUCUCUAGCCUGAAGUGUCACAAGCGCAAUUAUAAUGACUGUGACUAGACGUCAUGUCAUUACCACUCUCUUUCCUUUCUAGUAGUGAGAAGCUAGGGUGACUAUAAUGACUGAGACAAAAAUGCCAUGCCAUUACCAUGUCAAGACAAUAGUUGUAGAUCUUUACAUGACUAAUCAAUAAGGCCCUAUUACAAGUACAUUAGUUCUGUUAAAAUCGGAACGGCGAAAAAUAGAUCCAGAAAAUAACUUAAUGCAAGAAAAGAAAAGAUAAGCGGAAAGAACACACCGAUAAUUACGUGGUUCGGCCAACGGCCUACGUCCACGGGCGAAGACGGAGCAAAUACUUUAUUAAUGUCGAAAAAAGCGGAGUACAAGAAAAUCUCUCAAAAGACCAAAACUUAAUUAGAUCCGAAACGCCGAAAGUCGCGCCGUAUAAAAGAGACUCCAAAAUUUGAUUCUCUCUCACCACCCGUACGGACCACCUGAAUGCUCCUUAAUUAAUUAGAGCUCCAACUCGGCUUGGGUCACGACACGCAAGAACGCAGGAUCGAAUACAAGAAACACUCCUUAAUUAAUUAGCAUGGCAAUAAGAAUCCGGCUUCUUGACUGUACGGAACACCAUGCUUGAGGGAUCUUGAUCCAAGAGGCUUCAAUUAAUUAGCGCAUGAAGAAUAGUCUCAGCCGCACCAACCUUUUAAUUUAAUUUGCAUGGCUCUUAAUUGUGUCGCUACUCCUUUAAUUUGGCCGUAGCAUGUAUAUAUAAUACACGUCUCCUAAUUAGAGUCUAAUUCUAAUUCAAUUAGAAUUAUACUCCUAAUUAUAAUCCAUAUAUGCCAAAUUAAAUCUAAAUUUUAUAUAAUCCCAAUUAGAUUAGGAUUUAUUCUCAAUUUAGAUAACUACAAAUCUAAACCAAAUAUAACAAGUUCUAUAUCAGGUCUCGCCAUCGAAAGCUCAACAGUGGAGUUGAUUACAGUAAACGCUAAAUAUUUGAGUUAGAAAUUAUGACAAAUUAACAAUUGGGCAUUAAAAAGUUGCUCGAAAAAAUAAUGUUUGAAUAUCAAAAUGUCACUCGUCGCAUAGUUUAGGAACUAUGUCAUCUCCCCAGGUCGAAACGCAAAUGAGUAUGUACACCACAUUGACUGAGUUUCCACCUAAACAUGCAUGAUAUCGGAGUAUAAAGCACUUGCAAGUGCUAAAACAUUAUAGAAGGUUUACAAAAUCCAGGAAAGGCUCACUUUACCAUGCGGUUGCACUAGCCACCGUAACAGUGAAGGGGGAGUAUAGUAUAACUAUGACGCCUCGCUUUCCAAGGGGUUACCUAUCAUAGAACUACUCCAAUUCUAGCACCCUUAAUCUUCUUAACCUCUUGGCCUUAGCCACCACCCAACAUGUUAUAGUCGGAUUAAGAAACUCACAAGUACCAGGCAUGCAAUGUGAGACUCAUCUUGCUAGCCUUAGCCGAUCCUGUGGGGAGCUACGCUCCAAUGAUAAUGGUCAUCAGCGAGGGGGCCGCGCUCUACCCACUGUAUAAUCUUUGCUUAGUCGAGAUUCAUCUCACAUUGUUCUGCUGGUGAUUGGCUCUAAUGCCAACUGUAAUGACCAGAACAGCUAAUAAUAACAUCACGUUGGGAACAGCGUUGUAAUUGAGAAGAUAAGGGACCACAGACCCUAAUGAUAAUAACUGGCUUAAUCAUUUUUGGCAUGUGGUUUGGGCCUAACAAAUUAUUAUUAUUAGCAAUCCUAAUCAUUACGGUUAAUAUAAUGAUCCGGUACGGUAGCAAUAAUAACUAGUUGGACCCAAACUACUAGCUCGAAAUGCUCAAGCCAAGUUGUUAUUACUUGUAUUCCUGUCACAUAUAAGCCCAUCACACUCUCCCACAUUAUCCGACGUAGAACUAUUGGGGUGUCACAGACUCCUCCCGUUUAGGCCCUGACAUCCAUGUUAGCCAAUAACACAUACAGUUCAAAAUCAUCAAGCAAUGUGAGACCCACCUCACAUUUCCGGCCAUUUCAAUAUGGGAACUAUUGGGGUGUCGUAAUCGCAUAGCAAAUCAUAAUACUCUAUGAUCAAAUGACAAUAGCAACUAGAGUGUAAACUAUCAUUUAAUAGUCAACACAAAUGGUUGUAAUUUAUCAAACUUUAGCCAAAUUGGCGAAGUACAGGGAUUAAAGUUGUGCUAGAUAUAAUUAAAAUUGGUUUGGAGAAGCUUAGAUUGAGUUUGGAUCGAGUUGAAAUCAAUUCGGAUCUAAAUGGGGUACCAAAAGAGGUAAAAAUCUGAGUUCCGAAAUUUUUGGAUGCCUGGAAUAGAAAUUUGUGCAAACUGCUUUGGACUGCUCGGCUAAGCGCCUAGACCAAGUAGAUGCUCUAUAAGAGAGUUGUGCUUGUAGGUGAAUAAACUUUCACAUGUCCAGAUGAUCUUCCGGAUACCCGAAAUGCUUUUGAAUGCCUCUUGAAGGCAUUUGAACCCUCAUGAAGGUCUUCUACCAGAGAGCGCGAAUGCAUGAGAAAUUAAUCAUUCGGGCGUCCGAAUGUCCCUACUGGUGCAUAGAACACUCUUUGGAUAGUCCCUUCGCCGGGGCUCGAAUGACUUCCAGACACUCAACCUAAGAGUACCGGUUGAGUGGUGCGUUAAACAAUCAAAAGCCCGAAAUAUGGAGUAGAGAGGACUGGGCGGGCGUCCAAGUCACUGACCGAGCAUUGCUACAUAGGUUUUGGGCACUCCAAAGUUCAAGAAGGUACCGAAACCUUGCACAGAGGUUGUGCCUUGUUUAUUUGCAAAUAAAAUAUUGAAGGUUUUAAGUGAAAAUGUAGCACUUCUAUAUAACCCUUUUCACAAUGAAAACCCUAACCCUCACCACAUUUUCUCUUUCAUCUCUCACCUCAUUCUGUCUUUCACACUCUCUCUCAUUUUCUCUCUUUAAAAUGAAAGAACCCUAGCUCCAUCUCACUGUUGGAUCAUGGAGAUUCAUCUCUUUGGAGCCUUGGAGGAGAUCAACAACUCUUGGAGGAAGCCCUAAGGAGGAAAAGACAAACCACCUCCACCACAUUUCUCUUGCUAGUAGGAGCAGAGGUGACUUGAAAUUUUUAGAGUUUAUUUUUAGAGAUUUUUUUCAAAUGAGAAAUUUUAUGGUUAUAACUGGGUAAGAACUUUAUUUUAGGAUUUUCUUGGAGUUUUAAAGAUAUCAAGGAGCUUCUCUUAGGCAAGAUUCAAAGAGAAGGUAGAGAAUAUCACAGAAAUAGAUUUGAUCUCUCCAUCUAAAGUAUUCUUUAUUUAUAUGCAUGUAUUAUGGGUAAAUGGUAGGCUAAAAUGUAUUUAAUUUGCAUGGUUGGGGACUUAGUAGGUCAAGAUGGCUUAUGAGCAUUUGGCAUAGAAAAAUAGGAUUUCUAACCCUUUGAUGUGUUAAAAGAGAAGUAUACGUCAUUUACAUGUUGAGUAUCAUGUGUGCUUUAGAACAUAGGUGAAAUAAGUAUGGCAUCUAACUUAGGUUGAAACCUAAGGUGUGAGCAUAGCGACAUAUGAACUCUAGGCGAAACUUGAGCUAGAGAACAAGAAAAUGUGUAAAUAAGCAUUGUGGAUAACCCUAGGAGUCAUGAGAACUUAGAGUGAAUUAUAAAAUAAGUCGCGACCUUCCUAAAGUGCUAUUUUGGGAUGUGUCAAUUCCCCUCGACCCCCUUCUUUAUAUUAGGAGAUGCCGAUUACUCUCAACUCCCUACUGUACUCGGUGAUGUCAAUUGUCUUCGACGCCAAGUGCCUACUGAGCAGAGGUAUGCCAAUUGCCUUUGCCUGUCCAUGAGAUGUUGUAAGAAAUGAAACCAGACUAAGAGGUUGAUUAAUAAUAAGAGUUAAUUUGGGGCAAACAUGUCAACCAAUGACAUGGUGUAGCAUUGUGGCAUAUUGUAUAUACACUUAAGGCAUGAUAGUUGUACCUUUCUUACUUGCAUUUUUAUUGUAGAAAUUGAUGUGUCAUUUAUUAAUUGUCUAUUAAUGCCUUUUUUGGACCGAGUGAGUGUAGAGCACCACUCUCAAUGGCCGCACUCAUUGAAAAUUUAUUCAAGUUCCCACACUCUUGUGAUUGUUGUUUUCAGAGUUACCUACCGCCCGCGAGGCAGGGGAUCCCAACAAGGGCAUUGCAAGUAGCUAGAUCAGUGUGAGUUGGUCUAGAGGGUACCGUUUUGUAAAAGCAUAAUCUAUGUAAUAUUUUGGGGAUUCAAAGUAGUAAUUAAAUACUUUGAUGCUUUAUGUACCUAUAUCAUAUAUGUGUUGUACAGGUUAGUAUAUAUUUUCGCUUCAUGCGGAUAAGAAAAAUAUUUCUUAUUCAACAAGUCUGAUGCACUUGUCCUGAUGGGUCCAAUUGGCGGAAUUCGGGGUGUGACAACAGCAGCACAAGGCAAUAAAUAAAUUACUGCUACUAUAUAUAUGUCCAUCAUAUCAUCACAUUAUCAAUUAGACGCUCUCUAAAUUAGGAUGCUACGACAAUAAUAAUGAUAAACAAUAUAUCUACAAUGUCAAGAAUGCUAACACAAUAAGAAGCUCUAACAGGUAUAUAUGCUCUCAACAAGUAUAUAUGCAUGUGUAAUAUAAAGUAACCAUGAAAAGAGGAAAAUAUGUAGUCGAGAAAAUCAAGGUAAAGGUAACCCACUCCAGCUUGAGUACCCGCCUCUAAUUGUCAAUCCAGUGAGUUCGACAUAUUUUUGGCUCUUCAAUUCUUGCUUUAACCUAAAGAGAGUAUAAACAAAUCACCUACAAAUAUAAACAAAUCAUCGCUCGAACAUGCUGACACGUGGCUUGUGGUAGGUGUGAGCUGCUUGAGCAAGAUAGGCGCACCAUACCGCUGUGGAGGUGAGCCCUCUUUGCCGAACUGUGGGAACAUGCUGAUUAGGGCGCCCCCAGUUCUGGGUUUAGGGCGCCCAAAUCUGGGAUUUCGGUGCUGAGGCAGGUUAUGUUCUAAUUUUUUUGUGGCUUAUUUUACCCCUCCUUUGCCUCUAUAAAAAUAGUUGGAUAACCCCCUGAGACUCUUUUCUUCCCUCGUUCACAGCAACCUUCUUUUCUUCAUCCAAAUCCCCUCCAAAUCAGCUCUACUCCAUCUCUUCCUCCUUGCGGUGGAUCCAGAAUUGCAGGAUUCCAUCAGUAACCUCGGCAAAUUGUGGAAUUGUGAUCUGUUGGGCCUUCCAAUUGCUGUGGGGAACAAUUUUGCGGAUUGUAGACUUGAGGGGGAGUGUGUGAAGUAAUCCUAACUCCAUUUAAUCUAGGAUAGCAUAGUUGAAUUGCUGAAAUUUUACUUGAAUUGGAAUUUUGAGCUGAAAUUGAACUUUUGUUGGUUUUCUUGGACCUGAUUCUUAUUGUAGUUGGCUUUUGGAUUUGGAACUGAUUCUUAUUGAAGGUGAGUUUGAUUCAGAUUUUGAGUUCUUGAGCUUUAAAUGCAGUUUUUGGAGAUUUUGAUGGAAUUGUUGAAAUUUUGAAUCCAAAUUUUGGUAGAGAGUUAAUUGCUUGAUUUUGAUUGAUUUUUUCCCACCUCAGGAGGUUUUUGAACCCCUUCCCACUGGUUUUGCAAGUUGAAAUUCCCAAAUUUUAGCUUGAAUUGAGUUGAUGUGCUGGCAACUUACUGCUUUCUGGACUUUGCUGAAUCUGGGCCUCCAUUUUUGGAUCUAGAUUGUCUUGGAGGACUUUUGGUUGCUAUUAUAGUUGAGAACUGGUGGAGCAACACACCCUUGUGUUGGGUCCGGUUGCUAUGAGGUAAGUUUUAGUAAUUUUAGAAUUUCAAUUCUGGAUUUUGAGCUUUGAUUGCACGAGUUGAAUGCUUGCUGUUUUUGAGCAGACCUGCAAAUCUGGACUCAAGUUCUGGGUGCCCAGAACCUACUACUUGAGGAUCCAUAAGUGUAGUAGCUUGAGAGGAAGUUGGUUAUUUUGUUAGCUCUCGAGUCCUUUGUUUCGUGGUUGGAUUAGAACUUCAGGUGGAUUAAUGUCUACCGAAUUCUUCGGAAUUCUUUCUAAGUUUUGUAGAAUUUCAGCAUGCAUAAUUAUUUAAUUAUUGUGUUUAGUAGCUCAAAUUGUAAAUUUGCAUGUUAUUAUAUGAAAUCUGAAUUGGGAGUAUGAUUUAAAUAUUUUUGAUGAAUUUUGCAUGAUAAACCAGGGCAUGACUUAAGAGAAAAUAUAUAGAACAUACAUAUUGUAUUUUUCGAAAAGUUAACAGAUUUAGCUUCAUGAGCUGAUUUCACCUUUGUAUCGCCGCUGUUAGUGCGUUAUGGAUACUCAAAUUUGUGUAGGUAGAGAUUACACUCGUACUGAGGUGCCGAGUGGAUUUUUACAGCAAUGUUAAGGCUGCUCCAUAUUGUUAAGUGCCGUUCGGAUUAACGGUGGACCCAGAUCCUUGCUGUUUGCAUUAGAUUGUGCUGAGGGCACGUAAGCUUUGCUUUUUUGACCUGUUUCAGCAUUUGCACUGACUACAUCCUACGUGAGCCUGAUUGAGCUUGACAUAGACACAAUUCUAUACUCGGUAGGGUCGCAUCCCUAAGUGCCGCUGCGGAGUCUGGCUUUCUUGCGUUGAUGUCGCAGUUGCCCUUUUGGGUUUUUCUACUUUGAUCAGCCAUCCCCGUGGGUGGUGCGGUAGUAACUUAGGCACAAACUGGACUGACCAAUUGACAGUCACUUUAGAUUGGGUCGAUGGUCACUGUUUCUUAGCUAGUGAUGCAUAUGUCUACAGAGGACAUGACAUGGGUAGUGGUAGUGCAAUGGCAUAUUAGCUGUAGAGUUUCGUUCAGCUUAUCUUAUUGUUCUUUUACCUUCCAGCUUUAUUUUUGCCUUGUAAACUUAGUGGACAGGCCGUUGGGGUCGGUGACGGUACCCACUGGAACUACUUUGUUUCACAGUAGUACUCACCCCCAUUGUUGCCAUAAUUUUUACAGAGCCGUCAAUUGCUGCUGCUGCUUCUGAUCGAGAUAAGAAAGUCGCAAUCUAGAUCCUGUCUACUCCGAUCGUUGAGCUAGAGAAGUACCAUUUUGGAGACAAUAGUUGUUUAUAGUCAUGUACCCAAUUGUAUUUUAUUUCAUCUGUUGAGAGUUGUGAGGUGUUGGUGUUAUACUUUGAUUUUUGUUAUACACCUUGGAUUAUAUUAUGUACAGGUGACUUAUUUAUUUCUAUUUUAGUAGCUCUGUAACUCUUUUGUAGUAGUUCUUAUAUUGUUUAUAGGUGAUUCUAUCACUUCGUUUACACAGGGCUUCUUGUGUAUAUGCCGGAUUUAUUGGCGAGCUCAGGUAACACUGGACCCCAGGGCACAACAAAAACCCAUUUAUUUUCCUUUGCUAGAGUUGAGUAUCGAUACUAGUACUUGGGUUCUAGUACUAGUAUAUAACUCAAGAGUUCUGACACUUCAACCCAGUUCCGCAAAAUCUGAAUGGUGGAUUUCUCUUUUCUCUAUUAUGUACCAAUACCCGCCCGUUUCAGUUCUAGUACACAACAUUUCAAUAUUGGUACUUAAUUAGGGGGAGUUCUACAAAAUCCGAGAGUUCUCCUAGCCUCCUCGCAGCUGAGUACUAGUACUCCCUGGCCUCUAAUACCGGUACUAAAUGAAAAUCUGCAUUUUUGCAGAUUUAGCUCUUCAAUGUCUGGUUUUCACAACAAAAAUAGUCUAAUGAUUUCCAAAUACCAUUAGGAUUAUCCAAAUAGUUCUCAUUACUAUUUCUCACCAGAACUUUGUUAUUUACACCUAGGAGUAUAUAAAGAUGAAUGGAUAUGGAUUGCGUAAAAUUAAAUAGCAAAUUGAAAGAUUAUUAAAAGAUCACCAUGAAUAUAUGUAGGAAAGUAAAAGUUGUAACUCCAUUACGGGGUAUAAAGAAAAUUCAUUUUAUUUUUAAUAACAAAACAUUACAAUAGUUUAUAAAAGCAUAUAAAGUGUUUUAGCGCAUAUAAUUAUACAUCAAUUUCACAAAUAAAAUCUUUGCCUUUCUGCAUAAAAAAUUUAUUGGUUUUAUGUUUUUGCAAAAUCAGGCCAUAUCUUGCAAAAUUGUAUACGUAGAUUAUGACUGAAUUUUUAAAAAAGUGAUCAAAAUGCAUUUAUUCUCUCUUUCUCUCUUUUCCUUUUAAAUUCUUGGAAAGUACAACUAACACCCGUAAUUGCAUGUACUUUUUUCUCAAAAGUCAUACUCUUACAUGAUAAAAAAUAAAAGAAUAGAAAAUAAUAAGUAAAAUUAAAAUAGUGCAAUCACCUUUCACUAGUAUAAUAUGAAUAUAAAAUCGUGUAACACUAGUGCAAGUUUGCACAAAUUUUAACCUUUUUACAUUAAAAUUUAAAAGUUUUAAUGUUUUAACGUUUUUAACGUGUAAGCAAAAUAAAAUAACAAAGGACUUCUAACGUUUGAAAAUUUAAAUAUUUGAACAUUUUUACUAAAAAAGAUCAAAGUGUUGCACCUUUUACCGGUUGCAUUAUUAAAGAGAAUGUUGCUCAAUUUUCAAUUUAUGUUGCACAAUUUGAAAAUGAUGUUGCACAAUUUUGAAAUGUAAAAUCCAAAAAAAAUCUAACGUUAAAAAGAUAUUAUCUUUCUUAAAAAGGACAACUAACAAGUAAUAAUUGCAUGUACUUUUUUUCAUAAAACGAAAAUUCUCCCUUAAUACAAAAAUAGAUUAUAAAUAUAAUAAGUAAAAAAAAUAGUGUAACACAAUUUAAAAUUGUGUAACUUACUCUCAAAUCUUUCAAUAUUAGUCAGAUAGAGCAAUAUUUUUUUUUUUCAAAUGUUGCAAUAUUUUUUUCUAAUAAAAUUUAAAAUUCUUAUUAAAUAAUGCAGUAUAUUUUCAAACUAUAUAGUUUAAUAUUUAAUUUUUUUAUUAAAAAAAGAUCAAAAUGUUGUAGCUUUAACCGAAUGUUGCACUAUUCGGUAGUAUUUUACGUAAUUUCAAUAUAUGCUCCACAAUUUGAGAAAGUUAUUGCACAAUUUUGAAAUUUAAAAUGUCAACAAAAUCUAGUAUUAAAUAGAUCUUAUUUUUCUUGAAAAAUAAAACUGACAAGUCAUAAUUAUAUAUACUUUUUUUUGAAAGACAAGAAUCCGCAGCGAACACAAAUUAAAUAAAAAAUAAAUAUAAUCAACAGACGAUAAUAGCGCAAAUUUGAUCUAAAAUUAUGCAAUAUAUUCUCAAAUCUUGUUAUAUUUUAUCAAAUAGUGCAAUAGAUUUUCAAAAAUUGCACCAUGUGAAGGCCUCGACAAGCGCCCCCGCCUUCCACACGUGAAGGCCUAGUUCGUCCUACCCGCCCUUAUAUAUAGGCAGAAGCACAUUUUGGUCAAAUUUUAAAAAAAUUGGAUUGAAUUUGCAAAAAUUUGUAAAAACACAAAACUGGUGACUUGUUUAACUGAGGGACAUUUGUGCUCUUUGAGCUCUUUCUGGCACAAAUGAAUGUUCACUUGAGUAAUUUAUAUUUAUGAACAUAUAAAUUAAUUAUAAAAUAUAUAUGAUGGUCCAUUAGGUACGCAUGGUUGGGGACUUGUGUGUGCAAAAAACGAGACAUUACGAUAUGGGCAAGAACUUAUUUAUAUUAUACGCGUUAUUCUCUUGUUGUGGUUUGUUUCCAUGAUCUUUGCACUAGUCUUGAAGCUUUAAUUUAUAUAUUGUGGCAAGGAAAGCAAGGGGAUGGUCAGCAGCAGCACUCUGAGAACACAAAUAAUAAAAGGGGGAAAAAGAAAUAUUUUAAAAAAAUAAAUAGUAAAUUAUAUAAUAAAUUUAGAACAGUGGAGGAAAAGGGGGAAAAAGGGUAAAGAAAAAGAUAAUCAUCAAAAAAAAAAAGAAAAGAGGCGGGAAAAAGAAAUAUUAAAAAAAUAAAUAGUAAAUUAUAUAAUAAAUAUUAUAUAAUAAAUAUAUAUAUAUAAAUAAAAAACUAUAUAUAUAAAUAAUAUAUAUUUAUAAAUAAAAAUUAUAUAUAUAAUAAACAAAUAUAUAUUUACAAAUAAAAUUAUAUAAUAUAUAAUAUAUAUAUUUAAAAUAAAAUUAUAUAUAUAUAUAAUAGAUAAAUAUAUAUUUAUAAAUAAUAUAUAUAUAUAUAUAUAUAUAGUAUAUAUUAUAUAUAUAUAAUAAUAUAAAAUAUAUAUAUAUAUAUAUCUUCCCCUCUCUCCUCUGCUUCUCUCCUCUCUCUCCCGCCUCGCUCUCUCUCUCUCUGCUUCUCUGUUUCUCUCUUUCUCUUCUCCCGUUCGCGUGCGAAGCGGCCACGGCUCGCGCCCCGCACCCCGCCGCCGCCCUCGCGAGCCGCGCGCCCCGCGUAGCCGGCCCUCCGCUCGGUCACGCUCGCGCCGGUGACCACCCUCGGCCGCGCCGCGCCCGCGCCCGCGCCAGGGCCUCCAUUCUCCCGCCGUCGCCCGCCCGCGCCUCCGCCUCCCGCUGCCUCCGCCCGCUCUGGGAGAGGGCGAGAGAGAGAGAGAGCGGGGAGGAAGGAAAAGAGGGGAGAGGGGUGGAGAGUGGGAGAGAGUUGGGGAUGGGAGAGGUAAAAAGGAGGGGGGGAGAGCUCGCGCGCGCCCGGGGGUGCGGGUCGCCGCCACCUCCCCACGCGGCCCGCGCCCCGCCCGCCACCCGUUGGCGCGGUCGCGCGCACGGUGGGAGAGAGAGAAGGGGGAGAGAGAGCCGCGGGAGGGGGAGGAGGUGGGAGAGAGAAAGGGGGAGAGGGAGAGAGAAGGGGGGGUGGUGUGUGAGAGAGGGAGAGAGAUGAGAGGAGAGACCAGGGGUGGGGCUGCCAUGUGCGGGCGGCCGCACCCUGCGCACGCUGAAAGAGAGAGAGAGACACUGUCUGCUCUCUCUCUCUCUCUCUGCUCACUCUCUCUCUCUCUCUCUCUCUCUCCCCCCCUCUCUCCCUCUCUCUCUCUCGCGCGUGCUGCGCGCGCGGGUCGCCUGCACGCAGGCCCCCCCCCCUCUCUCUCUUUCUCUUCCUUUCUCUCUUCCUGGCUCUCUCUCUCUCUCCCCCUCUCUCUGUAUGCUCUCUCUCCUCCCCCUCUGUUAUCUCUCUCUCCCUCUCUCUCUCUCUCUCUCUCUCUCGAGUCCCCGCAAAAGCGGGGAGCCCACCGUACAUACUCUCGAUUCUAUAUUUAUAUAGAUAUAUAGAGAGAGAGAGAGAGUUGAGCUAGAAUAUUGUCGAUAGUAAACGAGCCGUUUUACUACUGAUUUGUUUUCGAUGAUAGAGCUUCCAAAUAGACGAUCGGCUCCUUAAAUAUGAUCUAAACCAUUUAAACUACCUAGAAAUCAAAUUUCACGCACUUUCGAUAUUGUUCUUUUAUCCAUCAAGUGAACAGAAAAAUGAAUGGCUGAAAAUGAAUAUUCUUUAAAAAAUGAUGAUAGGAGUCUUGUAAUCAAGAUCAAGAGUAUAGAUCUUGUUUUAAAUAGUUUAAAGAAUUUUCUAACAAAAAUUCAAUUGAUUUGGAUAUCUUUACGCUGUUAAACGAGAAAACGCUUCUUAUCGACCAUUAAAAUUACAAAUUUUGAAACCCUUUGAUCAUUAGGCAAAUGAUGUCGAAAAGAUUUAAAAUUUGAUUUCUAAACACUUCAAAUGGUAUAGAUAAUGUUCAACAGAGCCGAUCGUCAAUUUGGAAGCUCUAUCAACGAAAACAAAUAGGUAGUAAAACAACUCAUUUACUACUGAUAGUAUUCUAGCAAAACUCUCUCUCUCACACUCUCUCUCUCUCUCUAUAUAUAUAUAUAUAUGAUACGAAGAUAUUGAUUGAUUCCAGUUGAUCGUUAAUAGUGGUCAAUAUGAUAUCUGUUGGAUAUAGCACCUAGAAAAUUGAAACGAUAUUUGGUGUUCUAGAAUCUAAUUUAUUCCAAUUAUUAGGAACUCACUGUCAGAACAUUGGCGCUAACUAUUGAUGUCUAAAGUUCAAGCUACUAGAAAAAUACAAUUUAUUCAUUUAAAACAUAUAGAUACAGCAUCCACGGAUCUCGAUUAUGACUCGAUCCGACCAGCCUUAUACUAUUUCGAACAUGACUCAGUCCAACUUAGCCUUACGCCAUUCCAAAUGUAACUAGGCCUAACCUAGCCUCUCGUAACAGUGCAGAAUGCUAGUUGAUUCAUAUUUCCCUAACGUCGACCGUCCCUAGCUAGCACGAGUGGUAAACGACUUACUAGUUGCUGGUUAGUACCCGAGAUAUCAAGUUUGAAUCAUAAUUAAUUCAUAUUUUUUACUGAAUUUUUUAAAAACAAAAAUAAAUAAAAUAAAUAGUAUACAACCUUUCUAUCUUUCAAACGAAGAAGAAGAAGAAGAAGAAGAAGAAACAGAAGCAGCAGCAGCAACAGGGCAAAAUGCUGGCACGUACGUCUGUUAGCGCAAAUGAUAGAAAUAUUAUAAUAAAAUGUGAUAGCAUUGGAGUCCCCACUAGUGACACUUGGAGAGGGCACGAGUCCCCACCGUAUACCAACUACAUAUAUAUAUAUAUAGAGAGAGAGAGAGAGAGAGAGAGAGAGAGAGUAGGGCUAGAAUACUUGUAAAAGUAUCAUAGCUCAACUCAUAUAUAUAUAUAUAUAUAUAUAUAUAUAUAUAGAGAGAGAGAGAAAGAGAGAGAGAGAGAGAGAGAGUCCAGCUACUAUGCUAUCGGUAGCACGGAGCACUCCGUGCUACCAAGUUGUUUUCGAUGAUGCGGCUUCCAAAUCGACAAUCGGCUUCGUUAGACUUGAUCUACACUAUUGAAAGUAUUUGGAAACUAAAUUUCAGAUUUUUUCGACAUCAUUUGACCAGUGAUCAAAAGAUCUCAAAAUUGACAAUUUUAAUGGCCGAUGUGGUGUGUUUGUGAGUUUAACGGUGUGAAACAAUCCAAAUGCGAUGAAAAUUUUAUAGAAAAUUCUUUUCACUAUUUAGAGUAAGAUCAGUAUAUCUGAUCUUGAAUUUAAAUCUUUUAUCAUCAUUUUCAUAACAUUUUUAUUUUUCAGCCGUUCAAUUUUAUAGACUACUUGUUUGAAGGUAAAUAUUAUCAAAAAAUUAUGAAAUUUAGUUUCUAAAUACUUUCAAAUAGGGUAGAUCAAGUCUAACAGAGCCGAUCGUCAAUUUGCAAGGCCGCAUCAUUGAAAAACAACUUGGUAGCACGGAGCGCUCCGUCCUACCGAUAGUAUAGUAGGCCUAGUUCUAUAUUUUAUAUAUAUAUAUAUAUAUAUGAGUUGAGCUAUCAUGACUUUUACAAGUAUCACCAUCAUGGGUGCUAUUAGGUUUUAAACCAUUGGAUCUACUUUUUGAUUAUUAAUAGCCCUUGGAUUAAACACUAUUCACCUACCACACCUAACCACCAGCACUACCACUAUCAUCUCAACCCUCACAUCUCUCCAUCAAGGGCUAAAAACAAUACAAGUAUCACCCCCAUGAUACUUUUACAAGUAUUCUAGCCCACUCUAAAAAUAUAUAUAGAGAGAGGUUAUUAUGCUUCGACAGUACGAAGCCUUUCAUAUUUUCAGGUUCAUUUUUAUGUUGCGACUUUCGAAUCGUCGAUCGGGCUCCCGUUACAACUUGAUUUAGAGUAUUGAAAUACCUAGAGAAAUAAAUUUUACAAUUUUUCGAUUUCAUUUGCCUAGUGCAACUAAGCGGGUUCAAAAUCAACGCGCUGAAAGCUUAAAUCUUCAAAACGUGAUAAUAAUGAUAUUAAAAUUUUAAAUCAAAUAAUAUGAUUUGUUUUAUAGUAUAAAGAAUUUUUUAUUCAAAAUUUUUACGUAGAUUUGGAUAUUUCUACACCAUUAAACUUCGCAAAACGGCCACCAGGCAUUAAAAUUAUUGAUUUGAGUCCCUUCGAUCACUAGGCAAAUGAUAUCGAAAAUUACAAAAUUUAUUUUCUAGUAUUCAAAUACUCUAGAUUAAGUUUAACGGAGCCGAUCGACGAUUCGAAAGUCGCAAUAUUGAAAACGACCUCGAAGCACGGAAGGCUCCGUGCUUCCAGAAGCAUAGCAGCCUCACUCUCUCUCUCUCUCUCUAUAUAUAUAUAUAUAAUAUAUAGAGAGAGAGAGAGAGAGAGGACGACGAGAGAGAGAUGGGAGAAGAGAGAGAGAGAGAGAGAGAGAGUUGAGCUAGAAUAGUUCUAAAAGCACGAAAGAGUAGUGUUUUUGAGUUUUUAGCCUUUGGAUGAAGAAAUGUAGAGUUGAAAUGAUAGCCGAGGGUGGUGUGGUGUGUAAGGUGGAAAUAGUAUUAAUCCAAAGGCUAUAAUAUAUAAAGGGAUAGAUCCAAGAGCUAAAAACUUAGAAGCACUAAGAAAGAUGGUGGUCUCUAAAAGUAUUAUAGCUCAAUCAUAUAUAUAUAUAUAUAAUAAUAUAGAGUCCGCUAUGGGCUUGUAAAAACACAAACACUUGUACUUGUAAGUUUUUUACGUUAGAUUACGUCUUUAUCAUUUUCAACCGUUAGAUUAUACUAUUCAACCAACUACCCACUCAACCUUAGGGGGCCCACAUCAUCCUAACCAGCAAUCUUUAAUCGAAUGGCCCAAACAUAUAAGUACCAACUGACUUGUUACUUUUUAAAACAUUGGAGUCAUUCUCUCUCUCUCUCUAUAUAUAUAUAUAUAUAUAUAUAUUUAUUUAUUUAUUUAUUUGUGGCCGGUGAUAAUUAACAAUGCAAGUAAAUAUGAAUGCAAGCUACGUACAUGAGCUCAUGAUCGAUUUAGUAGGUUUUCGGUACCUCAUAAAAUAGCUUAAAUGGCAUACGUUACAGAUCUAGUAAUAACGGUAGUGCAGCAUAAGUCAUAGCGGAGCCAAUAUUGCUCAAUAUCAAGUGUGUCUAUGUAUAUAUAUAUAUAUAUAUAUAUAUAUAUANNNNNNNNNNNNNNNNNNNNNNNNNNNNNNNNNNNNNNNNNNNNNNNNNNNNNNNNNNNNNNNNNNNNNNNNNNNNNNNNNNNNNNNNNNNNNNNNNNNNAUAUACUAUAUAUAAUGAUAUAUAUAUUUUGGCCGGUGAUAAUUAACAGCAAGUAAAUCCAUAGAAAAUGCAAAAGCUAACGUACAUAGCUAUGGAUCGAUUUAGGGAGGUAUUCCGGUAAAUCUCAAAAAAAUAGCUUAACUGGCGGUAGCGUUUACAUCUAGUGAAUAAACUAUGUGCAGCAAUAGGUCAUAGCUUUUUUUUAUUUUUUUUUUUUUUUUAUUCUUUAUAUCUUUUUUUUUUUUUUUUUUUUUCUUUUUUUUUUUUUUUUCUUCUACACUUUUUUUUUCAUUUUUUUUUUUUUUUUUUUUUUCUUCUUUUUUUUUUUUUGCCUAGCAAUACUUGCCUCCAGAUUAUCUAGUCUUAAUAUCAUUUAUAAAUAUACACAUUUGUAUGAGCAAUAUAAAAUUUACAAUUUCUAAAUACUUUAAAUUUCUAAAUCAAGAUAUACGGAGCGCAAUAUGUCGAUUCGAAAGUCGAACUCUCGACAAAUCAACUUAGAGAGCACAGAAAGCGCCGUGCUUCCACAAGACAUACAACCUCUCUCUCUCUCUCUAUAUAUAUAAUAGAGAGAUGAGCAGAGAGAGAGGGUAUAUAAAUAAUAUAAAUAUAGAGAGAGAGGAGAGAAUGGAGAGAGAGAUAGCAAGCUAGGUUGCUAUAACUAUUGGAUCAAACGGAGGCUCCGUUUACCAAGUUGUUUUCAAAUAUGCCGAUUCAAAUCGACUGAUCGGCUCUGUUAAUUUGAUCUAACUAUUAAAAAAUAUUUAGAAAACUAAAUUCAUAAUUUUUCAUUAUCAUUUGGCUAGCACGAUCAAAGUCUCAAUAAUGACAAUUUUUAAUGUUAAUGUGAUGCAUUUGUAAAUUUAACGGUGUAAAAACAAUUCAAAAUUAGUAAAAAUUAUGAAAAAUUAUUUACUAUUUAGAGUAAGAUCAAACUCUGAUUUUAAUUUAAUCUUCUUCGAUCCUUUUUUUAUGAAAUUUUAUAUUUAGUCUGCCGUCAUUUUAGACUACUCGUUUGAUAGCUAAAAUGUACCGAAAAAUUAUGCAAUUUUAGUUUCCAUAAUACUUUAAUAGUAUAGAUUCAGUCUAAAAUGGAAGCGAUCGUCGAUUUGGAAGUGCAUCAUUGAUAAACACUUGGUAAGCAUAGACCUCCGUGCUACGAUAGUAUACAGCCUACUUCUCCUCUCUCUCUCUUCUUCUCUCUCUCCUACUCAUCUAUUAUAAUAUAUAUAUAUUAUAUAGAGAGAGAGACUGGAGAGGAUGGAGCGAGAGAGUCCGGCUACUAUGCUAUCGGUAGCACGAGCGUCUCUGCUACAUUUGUUUUCGAUGAUGCGGGCCCCCUUCCAAAUCAACGAUCGCGCUCGUUUAAACUUAAUCUUAUAUAUUGAAGUAUUUGGAAACUAAAUUUCAGCAUUUUUUCGACAUCAUUUGACUGUGAUCAAGAAGAGUCUCAAAAUUGACAAUUUUAAUGUGCGAUGUGUGUGUGAUUGGAGUUUACGGUGUAAACAAUCUAAAACGAUGAAAUUUUAUUAGAAAUUUCUUUCACUAUUUGAGUAGAUUAGUUUAUUCUGACUGAAUUUAAAUCUUUUUCAUCAAUUUUUCAUGAGAUUUUUAAUUUUCACCGUUCAAUUUUAGAACUAUUUGUUUGAUAGGUAAAUGAUAUCGAAAAA